CUCAGGGAUAACUCCCCGGCCGUCGAAUCUAACCGGAGCUGAAAUUUACAGUAUGAGUUCAUCAAGAAAUCCAACUCCAAGAGGGUCUAAUUUUAACCAUUCAGAUUUGUACUCAAUGAUGGGAUUUCCAGGGAGAUUAUCCAACUUUGGCCAAUCAGAUACAGGUAGAUUAUCGAAUUUCAACACAGCAGAUAUGUAUUCUGUGCAAUCCUCUAGAGGCCCAACUCCAAGGCCAUCAAAUUUUGAAGAAAACUGUGCCCCUGGUGGCCUAAUGAGUUCUCCAAGAUUCGGGUUCUAUCCUUCACAACCCGUUAACACUUCUUACCCGGCCCCGAACCAGGAAAUUUCUUCAGCUGUCCCGAAAACCUGUAAAAAUCAGGUGCAGCAAGUGCAGUCGCAACAUCACCUCCAGCCGGGGAAUAAGGUCAAUCAUGAUGCAAAGGAGCUUCACAUGUUUGUGUGGAGUUCAAGUGCAUCACCAGUUUCUGAAGGCGGUGGGCUCCACGUGUUCGGUGGGCAAGUUCCUGACCAUGGUGCCAAGGAAAUCAGGAUGUUGGUUUCUGAUCAUCACCCUCAAAAUGGGGAAACCAAAGGUAAAAUUUAUUUUAAUCAUCUUGUCUAAAAAGCUUAAACUAUUAUCAAAUCUUGUCGUCACACCACACUGACACAGUUCAAUGAAUAAUUGGAUUAGUUUUUUUUAUUAAUUUGGAAUUGUAUAAUGAAGCCAUUCCGCAAAAUGGGGACAUAGACGACUUUAGCUUUGGUGGAAGAGACAAUGGAGUUGAAGAAAAAGAGAAAGAGGUUCCCAUUGAACUGUCAAAACUGGGGUCCAGCUCCAUCGCCGAGCUCCACCCAAAGGCUGCCGGAGUUCAAGAUCCCGGCGUCAUUAAACAGAUGCCUCCGGCGAGCGUGAUGACACGACUAAUCUUGAUCAUGGUUUGGCGCAAGCUUAUCCGAAAUCCCAACACUUAUUCUAGUCUCAUUGGCCUCAUUUGGUCACUUGUCUCAUUCAGGUAAAAAGAUAAUUAGCUGUUUUGGUAUACAAAUGUUUAAGAAUAAGUAAUUAUGAUAAAAUAAUGAGUUCUGAUUGAUUAAUUUUCAGGUGGGAUGUGCAUAUGCCUAAAAUUAUUGAGAAAUCAAUCUCCAUUCUUUCUGAUGCUGGCCUUGGAAUGGCCAUGUUUAGCUUAGGUGAGUAGUCACAUUCCAAGACUGUUUUUUUUCCUAACCCAUAUAUAAUGUUCACUAACAGAAGCAUAUUCCUUCAUAAGCAUUCAAUCUUUGAUUGUUCAAGGCAUAUUGAGAUUCUAGCUAUAUAUGGUUGGUGCCCAUAAAACCAUCUCUGGACAGCAUGUUUAACAAAGAAGAUCAGACAUGACUCGACAGUAUUAGUAUUCAGUCAAAUCCAGUAUUCAUGUGAACAUAAGUUAAAUUUUAGGCCAUCCAUUAUUGGCAUAAAUGCAAUGUUAACAACUAUAUUUGAAAUUGUGACCUCCAAUAAUUCAUUGACAAACUGACCGACAGUACUAAUGAGAAAUUUCUCUUUGCGGUCCCAAAUGAGAAGAUGAUGGGCAAGUAAUUAAUGGUAGUUGAGAUUUAAUUGAUUAUAUUUCUACGUUGUUUGAUUGGAAUGUUAUGGACUUUCAGGUCUGUUUAUGGCCCUUCAACCAAAGAUAAUAGCAUGCGGGAACACUGUGGCUUCUUUUGCCAUGGCCGUAAGGUUCCUCACUGGUCCAGCAGUAAUGGCCGCGGCUUCCAUUGCUGUUGGUCUUCGUGGUAACCUUCUGCAUGUUGCCAUCGUGCAGGUAAGUCGUCACUUUCUUAUUAAUUGCACUAUUUUUUAGUACGUUGUACUAGAUUAAUUCUAUCUAAUAUUGACUCGUCGAGUAUACCAGACAUACCAUGUAUCUGGUGUAAAGAACAUUGUAGAUUCAGAUUCAUUUCAUAUGCUGGCAUACAGAAAAAAGUAUAUCUAUGAGGAACAUUUUGCUGUAAAGUGUUCUAACGUUUUCUUAUCCAAUAGGCUGCACUUCCACAAGGGAUUGUUCCAUUUGUGUUUGCAAAAGAGUACAAUGUCCAUCCAGCAAUUCUAAGCACUGCGUAAGUACUUUAAUCAACGGGAUAUCAUAAUUAAACCCUUUCAACUGUGUUUCUCCCGUUUUUCAUUAUUAUUUUUUUUCUGAUUUUACGAAUUUCAGGGUCAUAUUCGGGAUGUUGAUCGCGCUCCCGAUUACGCUCGUCUAUUACAUUGUUCUUGGAUUAUAAGAUUAUCACAGCAAAAUUCAGACUGUGUGAAAAUGGUGUCAAAAUUUCACUAAAUACUUGCUGCAUCAACAUUAUACUACAGUCUAACAGUUGAAUUUUGAGAGACAAAGAUGCGUCGCCAGGUAGAAAAAUAUAUGAUUCCUCCUAGCAAUUUGGAGCUGCAAAUAUUUGACUUAAUUAGUCAAAAUUUGCACUGAUACAAGGAGUCAUGCACCCCAAGGAAUGAAGGAAAUUGCAAUGUAAAAGAGAUUUUCCUUUCUAUUUUCCUCCUCAGUGAUGAUUAGUUUGUGCCUUGUGGUUAUAUAUAGUAUUUGUUUUGUUUGUCAUUUACUUGACAAGGUAAUUAAUUACCUUAGAAUGAGUAUGAUUGAAGGGUUUUGUUGUUAUUCAUAUUUCAUUUACUUUUGUGAAGUGAAAAUGAUGUAUUUAACUUUUUCAAGAGAGAUAAUUUUAAUACACGAUCUUUCCUCGAAAGGAAAAAAUAGCCUAAAAAAGGGGAUUGAGGGAUUUUGGCAGCAUGCUUCACUUGACUAAAUAAGAUUGAAUACAAUAAUUGAUAAAUUCUCUCUCUCUCUCUCUCUCUCUCUCUCUCUCUCUCUCUCUCGUGUGAUAUAAGUAAUAGAGCACUUCGCCUCCCGGACAUAAUUCAGUGGUGCAAAAGACAAGAAUGAUAUUAUCUCAUGUCUUGCUGACAACCGUAGUGUGGGGGUUCGAUUCCUGAGACAUGAAAUUGGUUUCAUUGUAGGCGUAGUGUACAUACAGCUCUUGUUCAUUGACUUGUUGGGGCACAUCCCGCGAUUUACCUCCCUCACAAAGCUCUAGGGGCGGGCGGUGAGAGCCCUUAAAGUUGGAGUUCAACCUUUUUCUAUUUUUAGUUAAUAGAGCACUUCACAUUUUUGCUUUGGCCUCGAUAGAUCUUGAACAAUCAUACUAUUUGUACAAUGUAUUUUACAACCUGGUUUGCAAUGCAUGAAUUGGGAAACAUUACACCCAUAUAUUUGAAAAAUUGUUUUUAAAAUCAAUGACUAAGAUUUUUCAACACACUUGUUGUCAAUCAAGUUGUACAAAUAUAUUGUACAAGUGGCUUUAUUCGAUCUUGAAUGCACGAGAAAUGCUACGUGCACAGGUAGAAAUGCUAAGAUUUUGUAUGGGGAGACACUUUACAAUUUUAUUGAGUGUUGGCAAAAGAAAAUAAUAAUAAUAACCAUGACGCAACAUCUUUAAAACUAUUUGUUUAGAAUCCCUAUACAAACAACUUAACUGUGAAUGCACCAACACACAUCCGAGUGUUAAUAGGCAUGGCUUAUGAGUUUGUUCACCGGUUUGAGUUUUGACAUAAAUAAAAAUAAAAAUGAGAUUAGAAGUUGGUGGGUUAUGAAAUGUAUAAUUAAAAAAGAUAAAAACUGUGAGCCAAUGAAAUAUCUUAUUAAAAAUGAAGUUUGAUCAACUUGUAAUCUCAAAAAAACUUUGUCAACUAGGAGCUUAUUACAUUAUAUUAGACUGGAUUAGAAUUAAUUUAGUCUAAUUUGACGUUCGUAAUAUCCAAAUCAGGUAGCUUAUCUUCCCUUAUUUACAUCGAAUUUAAAUAAUUCGCACAAUAAGUCAUUAUAUGAGUUUAGAUUGGAUAUUUAGCCCAUGUUUGACGACCCUUAAAACAAAACUUUUUUUUUUUUCAAAUUCAUUUUCAAUCACAUAUCAUCACAAUAAAAUAUUUUGCACCUAAAUUCAAAAAUUUUCUUACUUUUUAAUUACACAUUCUCCAUAAAAUCAUUAUUUCAAAACUCGUUUUUUCUAAAAAAAUAUAUAUAUAAUAAAAAAAAAACUCCAUUUUAAUGAUUGUAUAACAGGGGCUUAAUUCCUUGUAAUGAGUUUGAUUCAUCUACAAAAAGGUAAUUUACUUAUAAAUAAAUAAGUAGCGUUAAAAAAAUAAUUGUCUAUUAAUUAUAUGUAAGUUAUGUUGAUAUUAAACAAUUCUUUUUAGAAUUUUUUUUUAAAGUCAUCUUAAUAAAUUUGUAGCUAAAAAGUUAUUUAAAAAUAACUUUGAUUUGUUUAUCCUCGGCCACUGUUAAAUCACUGUAUUUAACAAAGUACUACCAUCCAUCACCCUAUCUUCUUCGAUUUGAAAAAUUAAAAAUCCGUUUCGCAACAAGUCACUGAAUUUAACAAAAAUGUAAUCCAAAUGCUUCUUACUGUACUGACAACACGCAAUUUGCCAAGUUAUCAAAAUCGUUAAUUCUCAAAUGGAACGAGAUGAAGUGACGAAAAAGAUAAUAAAAUAAUUGGUCGUAAAAAUUUCAGAGUUCAAUGAUCAAUAAAAGACAAAUGAAGCUAUUCGAACAGGGCCACGUAGGCCUUGUUUGAAUAGGAGGCCGAUGUGGUGCCUGACCUGUAGGAGGGCGCCAUGUCGACGUCCUGAACGGACACGGCUAGCGAAGCCCAUAAGAAACAAUACUGAAAGGGAUUGUCAAAAGAAUGCAUCAGGGUCAAAAGGCCAUUGUUUUUGCUUUUUGAGUUUUCAGCCAUUGAUGCGCCCACAAUCCCGCCCUACUUAGUAGUUUGACACUCUUUAAACUUUAAAAUUGUUUGUUAUAGUAUCAUUCUCAACUACAUAUUCAUAUAAUAAAAUAUUUUACACACAAAUUAAUAAAAUUUAUUUAUUUUUUAACCACAUUUUCAAAAAUUUACUAUUCAAAACUCUUUAACUUUUCAAAUAUGGACAACAAUAGGGCUGCUCAUUAUUCAACAAUUUAAACCUUUUCCUUUUAUCUUCAUUAGAUUCUCUCUCAACUCGAAAUGACUCCUCCAACUUUUAUGUCUCCUUGCAAGGCUUCAUUUGACCACAACCCAUUAGAAAUGUUGCGAUUAUCUUCUUAUUAUAAUUACAUGAUCAAUUAAUAGUGAGAGAAAUUGUUCGAAUGUUUGUUAAGUCGUUACAUGAUCUUAUUAAAAAUCUGUCUCACUUUAAAUUUCUAGGCACUAGUUUAAAUUGGAAAAUAAUAACCAACUUAAAAAAUUGAUAUAUUAGAAUAACGCGGAGAGUUUAUAUCCAUUCAAAACGUUGUCAUUGAAUGUAUAACUAUAUUGCACACAUUUGUCCCCGAGCGCCUCUAACAAUUGUUCUUGACAAUGGUAAAAGGAAGAAUAUGAAAUUUCUAUACAAAGGGAGGAUGGAAUCUGUUACGUCUCGUCACACAUGGCUCCACGUGUUCGACCCACUGUAGCUCUUAGCCUACCUAAGCCAAAUCACGUGGCAUGGUGGCUAAGGCCCUCAAAGGAUCAACGUUUUAAAGCUCGAAGUGCAUCAACAGAGGUGGUUCACUCUGAGGCCCAUGUGCCAAAAUUGUGAUUUGCAAAGCGCCUUCACCAUCACUUUUUCCAAGAGAUUCGCUUCUUUACAAGUAUAUUCUUCAAAUGAUUGAUAAGACGUUUAUCAUAGAGUUUAAGUGUCAAGUUUUGUUAAACAAAGGGACAGUUUUGUUGCUUAGUAAAUGUAAAAUGGACUAGCAAGUCAAAGGUAAUGCAUAGGAUUAGAUGUAUGGAUCAAGGAGAUGAGACCACGUGUAUUCAUAUCCAAGGGCCAUAAUAUACCUUGUGCUACUAUAAAUACUCUCCCAGGUUAUCAUUGUAAAGCUAAUGCAACUUUGAAUACAAGACUCAAUACUAGAACAUAUAUAAACAAUACAUUACAUUUAGCUCUCUUGCUACACAAUCUAGUUUACAUACAUAUCAAUCACGAUUGGUAAUUGUUGUACAGUCAUUCUACAAAUGCUUUUCCGAAUUCCAAACGUCAUCGUCUUACGCCUUUGAGCCGCUUCCAUGUCUUUUAUCGAAAAAUUUUAGACCGCUCGCGUGUCUUAGUGUAUUGGACCAGACUCACGUUGGGCGGGUGAAACCGAUACCUGUUGUCCGCAUGGUCCCCAACCGAAAAUGAGGUCAACAGAAUCAUUUGUAAUCAAGUUGAGACAAAUGAAGUUUUUUUUGUUGAUUAAAUAAGUCAAAAUUAUUCGUGCAUUCUAAUUAUUCUAAUUAAAAAAUUCAAAGAAUCCUAUUAGAUCACCUAAUGACUAUCUAAACUUAUAUUUUUAAUUCAAAACAAUAUCUCAUCUCACGAUUUUGUGAGUAAUUGAACAAUUUUUUAGUACAUCGAAUUGAUCAAACCCUUCGUGGACUCUCUACGAUAAAUAUAUGCACGUGAACGUUUACUAAAAAAUUCUAUCUAAUAAUAAAUCUUAAGCAUAAGCAAACAUAUUCUUGAAGAGAACCUACCAUUAAUUGCCACUUGGUACAACAUUCUUAUAAACAAAAUCUUGAAUUUGGUGAGCAAUUCGGAAGUUCCCAAAACUCCAAAAUCGCAGAAGGCCUUUAUCUAUGAUGUAAUGUCGUAUUUGAGGGGAACACACGCACUCAUUUGUGUACUUUCGAGUUAUCGUUUAAAUCGAGCCGGGUUCAAACUUCGUCAACCGAGAUGAAAUUGGAGUUUACCAUUUGACUCAACUUUUUACAAUAAAAAUCCCAUAAAUGUAGGGGUAUUUUGGAGAAUUAACCGUAAAUGUCAUUUUAUAGCAGCAAACCAACAUACCGCAGGACAAAUUGUUGUAUAUUACAAAUCAUCGGAGAAGUGCAUGGCUCACGUGGGGGUGUUUGGAAGGUCUAACCUCGUGUGCUACGAGUCAAUUGUUGUGCACGCAUUUCAUAGACCGCAAUCUCAUAGCAUUGAUCGCCUCAAUUCAAUUCAAUAAAAAUCGAAACAGAUCAUCAAAUAAUGGAACAAAAAUAAAAUAAAAAGGAACAAAAAUACAAACUACUAUGUCAAAUAAUGGACAAUUAUAUUUUUCUUGAAUUUAAUUUUUUUAUAUAAUAGAAUACUUUUGUACUUUCAACACUAAAACAUUGUAAUCACUUUAGUAUUUUGCAACGUGACUUGAGAGGUCCGUCCUGUUGCAUUUUUACUCUGUUCCCUUGUCAUUUCUACUCCUUGCCAAAUAUGGUCCCACCAAGUUAUUACCAACCACUCUUAACCCCAAGCCGCCUCUGCCCCUAUAGCACCACAACCCGCCAAUCUCCACAAAUAUUAUCUUAAAAACGAUUUCACAAGUAGGUAGACUACUUGAUAAAAAGAGAAUUGAACCUCGUAGUUCAUAUGCUAUCUAACAUCCUACCUUUACUAUUGAGGAUUAAAUACGAGUACUAGCUUGAGCUAUUGAGGAGAUUCAAUAAAAUUAUUGACAACUCUUGCUUAAGUAGGUUCAUUGGCUCAUUAAUCUUGGGACACUCGCACCGUUAUACAGUCUUAAAUUAAACGAACAAUUACAUAAGCUCAAUGAUAAUUAUUAGAACAAAAUCAUAAGAUCAAUAGGUUGAGGUCACAUCCUUGUCAAUUGACCAGAACUAGAAACGAAAAUGAAAGGGACUUUUUCCAUUUUACUUAUUUAAAUCUUUUGGGUGUGUAUAGAAAAGUUAGGAUUUCAAAGAUUCGAGAGUCUCUAGAUUAUUCUAGCGCGAGGGUCAUUCUUAGUGUUUUUAAAGCCUUGAGACUUAAAAUACACCAUAGGAAAACUGGAUUGGAAAAUGGUAAAUGUUGUAGUUCUGUCAAUCGUUCUGAGGUGAUCUAAACCCAAAGCAUCUCCAAUGGAUGUAACCCUUCGAGAACUUCUACACAAAAUUUGGUUUAAUCAUUAAAGAUGAUCUAAACACCAAAUCUUACACAAAAAAUAAGGAUAUAAAUGAAAAAAAAAUUGGUGUAAAAGAAAAUGGAGGGCAAAAUGGAAAAUAAUGAAUUACACCAAAUUUGGUGUACUAUUGAAGGGAUUUUUACACCCUUUAUUUUCUUAUCAUUUUUUUUAAAACUAAUUUUCGACAACAAAUUUCAUGAAAUUUACAACUUUAUCAACUUUUUUAUAAUCACAUAUUUAUUACUUUUAUUAAAAUUUGUUAAAAAAUUAUUUUUUAUCGAAACCAACAAAGAUUAAAAUUAUAUACUAUCUAUUAAAAUUUAACAUUGCUUUCUUUUAUGACUCAGGUGUUCGAAUUUUGCCCAACUAAUCCUGAUAAGUGGCAGCCUUUUCUAGGUUCGCCACCCAGGUAAAUUCGAUUGUGAUCACAGCUUAUACACACUUGCGCCAGAUUUUCAAGAUGUGAUUAUCUUUUCUGUAGACCUUCCUUUACUAUAGAUAGGACCCUUGGAGGGACCAUAAAAUGCAUCAUAACUUUACUUCCACAGAACAUCCGUCUUCUAACAUAAAUGUUGCCUUCCAAUUGCUGCAAUGAUUCGAACCUCAGAUGCUCCGUAGAGAACUCUUCUGUUUUACAACUGCGCUAUGCCUGUGAGGGCAAUUUUAACAUUGCUUUCUUACUACAUCUUAAACAUGUUAUCAGCCAUUCUGAAUUAUAAGUAUCGUUAAAUUAUACUAUGUACUCCACCCGUGUCAAGUUAUUCCAUGUCAAACCAAUUAGGUAGCCCAAUUUAAAUAUUAGAACUAAGUACACCAUGAAAUGCAUUAUAAAUUUCCAUGUUUAGAGUUAAAUUAAUACAACCCUUUAAUAUUAUUAGUAACGGUGAAAUUUUUCUCUAUCAAAUAUGUGUCUUUUAAUAUAGAAAAAGUCAUAACAUAGUUAUUUUUGUGGGUUCUUGGUUAAGUUUAUUUAAUUAUAAAAAAAUCAAUGAAUUUUUAUAUUGCUAUAUGUAAAUUUAAAAGGGAUUCCUUUCCGUCUCAAACUCCACCCAUAAUUUUAUAUAUUUGAAACAUGAUAGUCUUGUAGGGAAGAUUUUAAACAAAGGCUAAUGGUAUUGAUUCUGUAUUGAUAAUUAAUUAUUACCCAAUACAAAUAUAAGAGACCAAACAGCAUAGACCAAACUUAAUUCUUAUCCUCUUUUUUGUUCUUAUGUUUCAAUCUCCUUGUAUCCUUUGAAUCCUUACACUUAUUGAGUUGUUUGAGACUCAAUUAUAAAACAUUGUAUUUGCCUGUUUUGAACUGGCUUUGUCUUGUUAAUUUGUUGCCUUAGACAAUAUGGUCCCUCUCAAUGUCUCCGCAUAUUGACAACUGCUCAAAGAAGUAUUGAGGUACCAAAAGUUAAAAUCUUGUUUAUAGUUUUGUGUCAAGAUUCAGAUAUAAAUCUGAUCAUCGAACCCUUCCUGUACCAAAAUAUCAAUAUAUGCUGUCAAUGUCCUUAUCUAAUAUUUCUUAGAAUUUGUUUAGCAUGACUUCUGUUUUUGCUUCCUAAGAAGAUUUUUUGAUGAAAACUAUCUUAAUUUUUGUUUGAAAACUAAUUUUUAAAAGAACCUUCUAUUGUGUAAGUGCUUUUAGAGGAAGUCACAUUGGAUCAAUUUCCUCUAGAAGCUUUUCUUAGUCAUAUUCUAUACGUAGACUUGUCAAUCUAUUCACAUUGAUUAGCUUAUUGUCAUUGACCAGCCUGCCAAAGGAGAAGAGACAAUAAGGAUUUUAUAAAAGCUAAGACGGAUCAUGUGCCACGGAUCAAUCACUACAUGGCGACAAACAUAUGCGCAUGGAUGGAAUUUUCUUGGUGCCACAACUCCAACAUAGACACACUACCCUAGCUGUGCAUUGCAUAUUUGUAUCAUUGCACACUUCUGGAAAAAACAUGGAGGCCUGAGCUCACGUGCUUGCCCAUACCAAAUUCAUGUGGGCUUUUAGGAUAUCUUGGAAAAAAAAAGAAAAAAGAAAAAGGUGAUUGGACAUGCCAAACAAUGCUUCAUGAAUGUAUAAUUGGAGGUGGGGAAGAGUGUAAAAAGGAUAGGAUUCCAGGUUGAAGUAGGGACGAAUUUUGAGAGUAAUGUUUGGCAGAGGGUUUGUGGAUUUUAAUUAAUUCUUCUCUUUCCACAUGCAGGAAAAGAAAGGAAAUGGGACCCCAGGAUAAUGAUAAUUAACCACUCCCUCCUAAUGUUGUCCCACUUCGUUUAUUGUUUCUACCUAGCAAGGAAAUCUCUGUAGGGAUGGCAAAAACUCCAUCAAAUUCGAUACCUGCGAGUUCCAUUUCGUUUGAGGCAAGGAUUACCCAUUUAAUCGAAUAUUCGGGGAUAGGAAAUUCUGUUCCGAGGAUAUGGGACGGGUACGGAUAACAACUGCCCUGCGUCGUUUUUUUUUUAAAAUUGAAUACUUUAAAUGAAAAAUUUCACGAAAUUUUAUUAAUGCUAAUAAAAGAUGACAACUAAGAUUAUAUAAGGAAUAUGAUAAAUAAUAAAAACUUUAAUUUACCAAAUAUAUUCGAAUAAUUUAACUUUUAAAAAUAAAUAAAUUAAUUAAAAAAUUUAGCAACUAUAUUAAAAUGAAUUAUCAAAAGCAUAAAAAAAGGAAAACGGGUAAAGGCCUAGCCCCGCCUCACCUCGCCUUGCCCUGCCCACCUUAAACGAGUAAGGAGGUGAGUACAGGGCGAGAAAAUGCUCGAUGAGACAGGAGUGGGGCAACCCGCCCUAUUGCCAUCUCUAAAUCUAUGGUUUCACACAAGGAUGACUGCAAAUCUGUCCCCACAAUGGUCUGCAACCUCAUAUCUGAAAAUGCCAUUAGUUCUUUCAUCUCUAGUUUUGUUGACCUUGUGCAAUAAGAGUGCCAGAAGUAUGAGGUGGUCGAAGUCAAUAUAGCAUGCUAUAUUGGCGGGGCAAAUUGCCACAAUCUUGCCAUGCAAUCAAGUUUUUCCAAGUCAGCCUGACAAUUCCUUGAAAACAUUUUUCCUGUACAAUCACCUUUUCCCUAGUUAAAGAGGUGUGUUUAAGAGCCAAAAAAAAAAAAACAUGAUUCAAAUGAAAGCCUGACUCACGGUACAAAGUUUGAAGGUGGUCAAUUAUUAUUAUUAGUAUUAUUAUUGUUGUUGUUUAAGGGUUGUGCGAUGCUAUUAGAAAAUUGAUAAAAGUUAGUGGAUCCCACGAAUGUAUGGUAAAAAAAUGUUUGAGCAUUUUUUAAUUAAAAAAAUUACCAAACAUUCACGCAUAUAUAGGUGGGUUAAUUAGAUAAACAGAGUUUUGCUCGGUGGUUGAGCCAAACAUUUUGACAUUGAGGCGCUUAUGAGUUUUCAUACUUUGAUAAUAUUUUAUAAUUAAAUCAUAAUGCCCCAUAAUCCCCCAAGAUCAUUAUUCAUGGGCAUAUCAAUGAUGUACGUGUCAAGUUGAUCAUCAAGUUCCACAAUCUCUGCCCCUUACAAAUCUAGUGGGUAACACUCACGCAUUUAAAUUAAUUUGUUCUUGAUAAAAUUAGAAAACGAAAUAUAUGGAUCACACAAACAUACUAAAUAAAUGAGUAACUCGCUAUUUAUCUUGGGAACCGAUACUUCAACUUUUGAAGUUGCAUAUCAAUGGCGACAUUAAACCAAUAUAUAUAAGAAUGAUUGUUGCAAUGAUAUAUAAUGAAUGACCUAUAAGUGUAAAUAUAUCGUCCAUGUUAAGAACUCUAAUGUUGUGUUCUGGACAUAUAUAAAUGUUAAAUCUUUCCCAUAAAAGAAUCUCAAUCAUUAUUCACCAACUCUUGGAGCCAUUACUUACAUAUUUUCAACAAUCUUAUGACAGUGGCAAAUAUGUUGAUCUUUUCUUUGUAAUAUAUUUUGACAAUUCAUUUGAAAAUUUUAAGAUCUUUUUGAUGAGAUAUAGACUAAAGGCAAACUCAAAUUUCAUCAAUGUUGCCAACAAAAUAUGUGCUUCACAUUUUUCGUGCAAUUUGUACUACCAGUAGAAAUCAUCUAAAUAUCAUCAAUUGUAUUUGAAACAUAUGCAUCAAGUUACAUAAAAAACUGUAGUGAGAGCUCCAACUUGUAUCACCAGAACGCUUGAAAAUAAUUUCUUAAUUAAGGUCCCCAUCCACUUGUUAUUUCACUAGCAUUGAGUGCUAAUAUUUGAGUUUUUAUUUCUUAUGAAGAAGAUCACACAGCUUAGUUGAUCCUCCAACAACAUUUACCAUAUUGUCAGCCAAAUGAAAAAGUUUGGGUCUCCAGAUGUUUAUUUUUCGCAACCACAAGAAGUAGUUGGGGUUGAUGAGUAAAGCAAUGAAUGUAGUAUGCAUCCUUUCUUCCAAGAUAAACGCUUUCAAACCUUUGCGUUCACCCUAUAUAAUGCUAUCUCCAUCAUAACCUUGGACUCUCUAAUUAGAAAAACCUAAGCUAUAUCCAAAGAUUAAGUCUUAAAUAGCAACCUUAAGUGAGAGACGGCUGUACUUGAAACAUGCUGGAUAUCAAUAAAAUGUUCCAUGAUAUGUCCAUUCUUCAUAUAUCAUAAAAUAACUGAUAUUUUUUCCUUAAUUAAAAUAUCAUGGAUUCAUCAACUAGAAUAAAAAAUAAAUCAUCGCCAAUCUCACUAUAAUAAUUCUGACCGUUUCAAAUGCAAUAAUACUUACGAUAUCAUUUUAAAUAUCUUGUGAGGUUAAUUUUAGAUUUGCAGAAGCAUUCUUCAAACAAACAUCGUUAUUCUUAGAAUUAUGAUCAUACAGCCAUCGUAAUAGUUCAAAAAAAUUUCCUUGAAUCUUGAGAUUCUCAUUUCUAUAAAAAAAAAAAAAAAAAGCCAUUGUUGUAGAAGAUAUCGCAUACAAUUGAUUGAUACAGUCGAACAAAUUUGAUAUUCGCUUCAUGUUUGAUGUGAUUUUUUGCAGCGACUAGCCUCAAUAGUUUGUUCUUGAUUCUUAAAUGAUCCAACUUCCACGCUUUCCAAUAUGUUUUUCGAGUUUUUCUUUCUUUUUCCAAUUUGAGAACCACAAACAACAAAAAAUUUUGAGAGAAAACAAGCAAAAGAAUAACUUUUUAGACGGCGUCAAGGAUUCAUCGAAAAUUUACAAUAUUUCAAUAGGUUCAUCCGUCAAAAAUAUAAAAGUAUACUUAACAUUGAGAAAAAAUCAUUGGCUCAACAACCAUUGGAAGCCGAAAAAUUUUCCGACGGGUUUGGGCUUGAUGGAAACAUGUAAGGUACAUUAAUAAAUUUCAGAUGGACCUUUUCGAUGAGCUCAAGUGACCGUGGAAAAUUCACAUCUCUUGCGUAGUUAGCCUGUUAGAAUCUUGGAUUAAAAAGUUGAAAUAUGUUUAAUAAAAAUAAUACAGCAAUGGAGAACAAAGAGGAAGAAGAAGAUGAAUAUUAAAUCCGGCAAGGUUUGAACACGAAGAAUGUAUCGUUGUUCUCAAUUGAUAUUUGCCUUCUCUGCAAUUCAUUUAAGGAUUUAUCGGGAAAUUGUUCGAAGGACUAAACAAGCCUUAAUGAAAAAAAAUACCAAAAAGCAAAAGUGUUUCUUCAAAUGGACAAGUGAAAAGAAAUAGUUUGAUUAUGUAAAUAGACAAAACUUUGGAAUUUUUGGAUGAACAAGGAAUGAUUUUCUCAUAAGAUUUUCAUUGUUGUUGUCUUGAACUUUGAUCACCUAUUUAUAGGCCUUGAUCAGUUCACACGAAGUGGUGCCAAAAUUGGGAUGAAGGGCCACCAAAUUUAAACCAAAAAGAAUAAAAAAUGGCCACAGCGGUCAUAUUAUUUACACUAUGCGACCGCAUAGGCCAUAACUAUGCGGUUGCAUUGUUAUAACAUUUGCAGUCACCAAAAUCUCUACAUGGUCUUAUGCAACCGCUUAGACGGACCGCAUAGGCCAAUUUCAUGGCAGAAUUUUCCUUUUUCCUUUAUUUCUCUAAUUCAUUUCAUCUACUCUCUAGAUUUUGAACAACAGGAUUCCAACAAAAUAAAUGUAGAGUAGUAAACCAGAAUGCCAUGCAACGACUAUGCAAAAGAUCCAUUUUUGUGUGUAUGAGAGUUAAUUAAUUUUCAUCAAUUUGAAAGAUGACAAGUGAUGUAUUAAAAUUUGAAAUUAAACUGAAGUUCAGUACCCUAAUUGAAACUUUAUUCAAUUUUAUUGACCUAAUUGAGAAAAAAUUAAAGGUUAGUGGCCAAAUUGAGAUUUGGCUAAAAAUUUGGUGAUCAAAUAUGAAAUUUAUCCCAAUGUGAUUACAGAUUCACGACAGCUAACCUGGAUGUUAUUAUUUCCCUUGUUUAGUCCCCACAAUUCAUGUGAUUAUCAUGUGUUUAACCUUAAAUUCAAGACUUAUACACAUAUAGACAACUCUUAGUCAAUUAUGAGAAGAAUAAUGAUAUUCGUAAGUGUUGGAUUUAAGAUGACAAUUAAUUAGUGUUAUCUAAAUGUCACAUCAACAUUUAUCAAUAAGCGCGUUCCUUAUCAAAAUUUCCCAAAAAAUUCUCACGUCUACCAAGAAUACAUAGCAUUCGUGCUCAUGCCAAUUUUCUUGGCCCUCAAACGGGACCAAAGCUACUGAUUCAGAACAAAAUAAAUAUUAACGGAGAUGUAUUAAUGUUUUAAAAAUUGUGAUUUAAUGCAUGUUUAUCUGUAAAUAUAUUACAUCAAUGGCAGCAGAUUUCAUAUUUUAUGAUAAAAUAGAUCAUCAUACUGCAUUGAAUUUCUGGCAAGUGGAUUUGCCCAAGAAUUUUUUAUUUUUUAUCCGUGACUCAGAUGAUAAUAAAUACAUGCAAACAGGGAUCUCCUAAGUACUAAGUUUAACUUAUGCUAAGCAUUCAGCUAAUAUGACACAUUACACUAGGUGCUUAAAGAUAAUAAAUGAUUACAAAAUUGAUUACACCACCUAUUAUACUAUGUCACGUGAUCUGGUGCUUAGCUUUGCUUGACAUAAGUUAAGCACCAAUACUAAGGGGUCGAGAGAGAGAGAGAGAGAGAGAGAGAGAGAGAGAGAGAGAGAGAGAGAGAGAGAGAGAGAGAGUGUGUGUGUGAUGGUCUGUGUAGGGUGAACAACGGACAUGCGUGUAGUAGAGAGAGGGGCCAGCAAUGGCAUUGGGACCAUUAAAAGAAUGGUUGAGACUUGGGAAAGGACUGAAAAAGGGUGGCCUUUGCAAACCCAACCAUGGCAGUACACCUGUCCAUCAAAUUUUAGAAAGGUCUCAUCCUCAUGCUUGGGUCCUGUUACUUCAUACUAAAGAAUAAUAAUAAGCCCUUAUUUGGUUCAGUUAGAAAUUUAGAUUAAAAUAUAAAUAAAAAAUCUAUAUUAAUUUUAAUAUAAAUUUCUUAUUAAUGUAAAUCUUAGAAACAUAAAUCUUGAAAUUUAUAUUGAAGAUGAGUGAAUAAACAUUCUACAAAUUCAAGAAUAAAAUAAAAAAUGUGAUAUUUAGGAUAUGAGAGACAUCUUUUAAUUUGUAUUAUUGCCCACAGUACCAAUGUUUCAAUGGAACCAAAAUUUAUCUAGAUACACUUAGUAUACGUAAAUUAUAAACAAUCUAUAUAAUUCUUUGUCAUUUCAUAAUCUUGUAUUUUGAAGAUAAAAUAUAAUUGAAUAGAUAUAUUUUUUCCUCGACAUUUUAAACUCUUAUAGAUAAGGUAAUUCAAUUUGAUAAGAUAGUAAAGAAAUCUCGAGUGUUAAAGUUUCGAUUCAUCCAUUUAAAAAAAAUAAAAAAUUCAACUUAUCAAGUUUUUAAUAAAAAAAUAAAUCCCACAAAAUAAUAUAAUAUAAAUAAACAAAAUUAACCUUUUAAACUUUUCGAUCCAACCAACUCCACAUUUAACAAUUGAUCAAGAGGAGUUGGGAUUGCAUACCAUUUUACAGUACAUUUAUGACAGCCUUCCAGUGAGGUCUAUUAGUAUAAUUGAAUAUUGAAUAUGGAAGUAUGAAAUAUGAGUUGCUCGCCAGCUGGUCCAAAUGGGACCAAAAAAACUUCAUGACUUGAAUAAAGUGAUAAAUUGCAGAUAACUGGCUGGACUUCAAAUGGUAGGUCCAUUUUAUAGGAACUUGAAUUCUCCUUGUUCUUCUGGUUUUUGCAGACUUCUUAUCCAUUAUUACCUACUCAUGUGUUUUUGUUUCCUACAUGUUACUAGUAUUGGCAGAAGCUGGCACUGUUUUGCCAGUUCUCUCCAGUUUUCAGCUCCUCUACUGAAUAUUGUUUAAAAAAUUGUUUGCUCAUAGCACUGGACAGGAUGCUAAAUUUUUGUGGAGUGUAAGACAAGAAUAAUGUGCAAUGUCUAGUAAAUUUGUUGAUCCAUGUGAUAGUACGAUACUCUUAAGUACUAAAUAGAGAGUUUUAAAUUACGUUCUUAGAGGAACAUAAUCUAGAAGAUGUUAUGAAAGUGUGAAUAGAGUCUCAUACCAGUUAGACAUAAGAUAAGUAAUGAGCAUAUAAAGAAUUGAACUACUCAACCUAAUGAAUUAACAUUUUCGAAUCGAACCAGAAUUCCCUACCAUUGGUAUCAUAGCUAUGCGCCAUGCUGCAAACUUAACCACGUGGAUGCACAAGAUAGAUUUAUGGUUGUCGUUGAAUGAAUUUGGUGGCAUGUGUAUUCGAUCACAAUGGUUGGAAUAAUUCACGGUUUGCUAGUUUCGAAAGAGACUUACCGACAUAAGGAUAUUGUCAAUGAUUGAGUGGAAGAAUUUGGUCUUGAUUGUGUGGUUUUCUUUGUAGACAAUUUUAGGGAAAGUUGAGUUUCAUUUAAAAAUAUUGACUUUAUUAAGUGGAAUAGUUCAAGUCUUUACAUGUAUUAAUUUAUAUAGUUUCUUCUUUAUUCGAUGAAGAUUUAUCCUUUGAUAUGCUCUCACAAGAUGGUAACUUGUUUGAACAAACCAAUCUUAAAUUCGUAUUCCUAUUUGAGUUUUAAUCAGAUCAUUUACUAGUUGGAGCUAAAUAAGUUAUACCACUAUAUUAAGAUUUGAAGUUUUAUUUUGAAAAGUCAACUUUGUUAAUACGAGCAGUCUAAACUCUUAUAUGUGACUUAUAUAUUUAUGUUUAUUUGAUAUGAUCAAAUUCAUCAUUUAACAUGGCCUGCAAGAUUGUUACUCUUAUGAGAAUAUCAAUAUUAAAAUUCACGUGCUCGUUUAAGUCAUUGGAUUAAGUUGUUCAUUUGAACUUAAUGAACUUUAAUACCAUAUUAUAUUUGGGGUCCCAUCAUAAAAAAAUUAACCUUGUUAUAAGAAAUAACGCUAGUCCUUAUAUUUGGAUUUAUAUUUUUAAAAAACUAUUAUUUUGUUGUAAAAAAUAUUAUUUACAAAUUUUAAUACUUCUUGCUAUACUUUUACAAAAUGUAACACAUGUAAUACAAUAUUAAUAUGUUUGUAACAGGGUUGGAUCCAACUCCAAUCUGGCCCAGACUAUAGCCCCUCCUUACCCUAGCCUAGAUCCAGUAAGUUCUAUAAUUUUUUUUUUAUUCAGCCCAUGCUAUUUAGUAAAGAAGCCCGUGUCCAAAUUUAAAUAGGUUUAAAUAGAUCAAGUGCUCCAGCCCAAAGAGAAUUUUAUGACCCAAAAGAAACAAUUAAAUUAUUGGCCCAAUUUCAAAUCCCCAAACUGUGAUAUCCAUUUGAUCUGUCUCUACGGCCCCGUAAGUAAACCAUUAUUUUUUUUUACAAUUUCAAAGACUCCAACUCGCCCCACCCUAUCUCCAUUAUCUAAAAUUUGAAUUGUCUUCUCUAGGUAUUUGUUUAUUGUGGUUUUAUAUAUACGGUAUCAAGUGCAUAUUUAUUCCAUAGCAGUUGAUUCGAGAGUUUUUGAUUUAAUCAUGUUCUUUUUUAUGAUGUGGUUUUUAAGAAUUUUGGGGAGUGUAAUCAGAUAUAUUUAUAUAAUUUGCGUCUUAAAAUCAUGGGACAAGGUUUUAGUCAUUUGGUUGACUGACUUUCUAAUUUCUAUAGGCUACAGUUGCUUAUGUUUUUUCACAGAUAUGGAGAAAAAUUGGUUGAGUUGCUCAUUGAAUAGUGAAAACCAUGGAAAUUAGAUUUUUUUUUUAUUUUUUUUUCUAAUUCUCUUCUAAAAAUGUUUUUAGUUUUAAAUUUUUAGUACAUCCACCAUUUUCUACGUACAUCUCAGUUUUUACUUUCCAUUUUUUAUCUUCUAAUUGAAAUUUGAUUUUGUGAUAAUAGUGUUUGUGUACUUAGCUAAACAUUUGUUUCGAAUUUCAAAUUCAAAGGUGGAGACUUGCAGCGGGGCAGCAAAAGCUUGAAAUUUGAGUAAACUCUUCUAGUAAGUAAAUGGUUCAUAAUUUAUAUGCAAUUUUUCAUUCUUUGUGUCAUUUCAUCAACACAAAAAUACAAAAGAAAGCAUAUGGAAGGGGAAGAUCCAAUACCCACAAUCAAAAAUCAUGACUACGGAUUAAGAAGUAAAAUCAAGAACAAGAAUUAAAGAAUUAGGGGAUGCAAAAUUCAAGAUCAAACGUGAAGAAGCCAGAAAUGAAAGGAUUGCAACUCAAGUUUCAAGAUCUGAAAUCAAGAACUUGUAAUAAAGAAUCAUUCUCAAAGAAAUAUAUGUUUCGCAUUAUUAAUUUUCUUGAUGAUCUGAUAUAAAGGAUUUUGGCAAUAAAAUAAUAUAGAUUUUUAAGUUCUAAAAUUUCUAGUUUUGGAGAGCAACGACUGAAUUGGAAAAAUUAUAUUUUUUCUUUCGGGUUUUUAUAGAAUACUGAAUGUUCUAAGUUGGGUAUAUUUGUUGGGUGUGAUUUUGUGAAUUUUGUAAUUUUCUUGUGUGUUUACGAAGGAUGUCAAGGAUCUUUAUGUAUUUGUCUACCUUUAUACAAUGCGUUAAUAUUUUGGUACUCGACGAAAAGCAUGAUACUAUAAAAGGCGAGCUAAUGAAGUAGUUUCACGUGUUUGGCUACACAUUUUUCCUUGAAAAUACAAUGUAACAGUUCUAAUUCACCCAUUACGUGAUACGAAGCUUUACAAAUCCAAAAGUUGACAGUUACACAAACAUUAUCUAAGGGACAAAUUUUAAGGAAUUAGGUUUUCGUACAAUUUCCUAAAUAAAAUAUUGUUUUUGUUAAUAAUAAAACAUUAUCAAUCCGUUUGUUAUUAUUAUUAUUAUAACAUAGCAUAUGUUUCCAGGCUAAUAAUUUUUUUCACUUUAAUUUAUUUGUUUUUGAAGAUGGCAUACGAGCACAGUAAAAAAAAUAUACUUCACGAUGGUAGAAACAAAAAGUAACAUUGUAAGUCACUUCUCAAUUCUUAUUAUCUUUAACCAGGGAAAUUGAAGCAAAUGAUUCCAAAUCUCUCAAAUGUAGAAAAAAAAAAAAAAAAAAAAAAAAACUUCAUGAGGGUAGAAACAAAAAGUAACAUCCUAAGUCACUUCUCAAUUCUUAUUAUCUUUAACCAGGGAAAUUGAAGCAAAUGAUUCCAAAUCUCUCAAAUGUAGCAAAAUUAUUUCAAGCUAGUGUUUUUGAUGCAAAUAAUCCUUCUGGAUGGAUUUCGUCAAAAAGUGCGCUUUAGCACAUAUAAUCCAGUUUUUAGUGAUAGUAAAGAUCAUAUUUCUUUUCAAUUUUUUGACUAUGCUUUUUGUACAUCAUGUUUGGUUCAUUAUUCCGGUAGAGCAAGAUCAAAAGAUAAAAAUAUUCAUUAAACUUAUCGAUUAUCCUGUUUGACGAACUUAACUUGAUCAAUAAUGCACUUGCAAGCAAAUCUUGAUUAGUUAAUAAAAAAGAAGCAAGGGUGUUCAUUAUUUUUCAAGUAAUGAUAGAUCAAGCUGGCAGAGUUUGGCCCCUUUAUCAUAAUAUGAAGAAUUAACAUGACAAUUAUAUAUGCUGACUGCCACUCAUUUUUACACUUACAAAACAGUACAAAAGAAGAGAAAUAAUUACAAGUACUUAAAAAUAAUAAUACAUAUAUAUAGGCAAAAUGGAGAAAGGAAAGGCACAAGGGCGGUCUCACCUGGCAUGAAGGCUGCUAAAGGUCCUUGGAGUACUUGCCUUUCAAUCUUUUUUCAAUGAAUUAAUCUACUUGUACAAUCAUAAUUGACAAUGAUUCUUGAUAAUGUUUGGUGUGGUAAAAUCUGGACAAUCAAUUUAAAAUUUUGGUUUUAAUUUUUUUUUGAAAUGGAUGAAUGUGAUGUUGAUUGGCAACUUGAGACCUAUUUUUCAUAUAACAAACAUUUGAAUUGGAAAAAUUAUUCUCCUAGAAAAUUGUAGCUCUUUGAGUUAGUUUUUUUGGCACAUUUUGAAUACCUCAAUCGAAUAUCAAGAGAAAAAGUUAUGACUAAAUUACCGAAAACUGCUCAAGGACAAUAUUACAAAACGACGCACGUGUGGACCAAUCAUUGUGCAUGAGCGAGACAAAAAUUUCAUGACCUGAGAGCCAAAUGGUUCAAUGGCGCACGUGCAGUGGGCAUACCUGUGCGUGCAAUCCAUUUUCAUCGAUGAAUCAACAAUUUCUUUUCACGAUUAAAACUUUUUUCAACCCAAAUUGGACGUAAUUUUGACACAUUUUUUGGCCCUUAUAAUACAAAACAACGGUUACACAUGAAAAAAAAAACACUCUCUUGCCUUCUCAUACACAAUAGUUUCAUCAAAUUCAUUAAAAACAAGGGGUUAAUUUAUUACUCUUGGAAAAGAGAAUCAAGCCCUAAUAAGGAAUUGAAACUCAAUUAUAUCAAGAUUUUGAAUAUUUCAACCUUGGACUUGAAGUUCAAUAUCUCUUGAAUAAUUUCAUGAUUCGGGUGAUAUUUUUCUAUUAUUUUUCCUGUAAUUCAUUUAUUAAUAUAUUAGGCUAUAUCCACUUUUAUAUUAGAUGAAGAUGAACAUUAUUUGUUAUUUAUUUUUAAUUCAAGACUAGUAGUUUAAAAUUUUCUUGCAUUUCUUGAUUAAUUUUGUAUACCUAUUGCAUUAUUUAACUGUUUAGACACCAAUUAAAUAAUUAGUUGAUUUUUGUAGCAUUGCGAGACUUACAAUAAGUUUAGAACGAAACAAAAUGAACAUAUUGCAUGCAAUAGAUCAUUUAUGAUAUGUACAAUUAUAUAGAUAAUCUAAAUUUUAAUGCAUUCUAACCAUUCGAAUUCAGGUUAGGAAUAGAUUCGGAUUGUGGUUAGGAUAAAUUUAAUUUGUGUUGGAAAAGAAAAUUAUAUAUUACAAUUUAUCGAUUAUCAAGAAUGUAUAAAUGAAACCAGAUUAUAAAUCAAGAAUUGAAAUAGAUAACGAUAGAUGGAUUCUAUAUCCAACACAAUCAUCCGUAUUUGAUAAAAACCCUAAUUUUAUCACUUUCUUAGAUUAAUUUAGAAUAACCACAAAAUUAAAUUCUCUUUUAUUUUACAUAAUUUGAAUUCCAUACGGAACCAAUAAACUUGAAUUGAAUUUAUUCCCUGUGGAAUGAUACUCUUACCUCAAUAAAAGCUUUACUUAAAGGGAGGGUGCUGAUUAUAAUAAAAUCUUCUCCCCAAUAAUCAAGUAUAAAACUAUAAGAUUAAUUCUUGCUAUAGUUGUUCAAUUCAAUUGGGAACUUGGACAAUCAAAUGUCAAAAUUGCAUUCUUACACGGGGAGUUAGAUGAGGACAUCUAUAUGUGUCAACCCCAAGGUUUUGAGGUGAAAGAAAAAAGGGAUUAUGUCUGUAAACUACAAAAAUCAUUGUAUAAUGUUAAAGAUUGGAUUUAAGAGAAGUAAAUAUGAUCAUUGUCUGUACUAUAAAAAUGUUAGGGCUGGCAAUGAAGUUUAUUUACAUGUAUAUGUUGAUGACAUGCUAUCAACUAGCCUUAACAAAGCUGAAAUAUUGAGACAUAAGAACCAUUUAAGAUCUGAAUUUCAUAUGAAAUAUUCAAGUAAUGCUAAGAAAAUUUUGGGAAUGGUUUUAAACAAAAAGAGGCAUCAAAAUGUUUUAAAAACCCCACAAGAAGCUUAUUUGAAUAAGGUUAUAACCAAAUUUGUUAUGAAAGAUGCUAAGUUUCUUAAUGUACUUCUUGCACCCCGCAUGAAUCGCUCUUCAGUCCAAUCACCAAAAGCUGGACUGAAUUGAAAAAGUUGAGAAAUAUCUCAUAUGCCAAAGCCAUAGGAUUGACAUGUUUUCCAUGAUUACUAGGCCAGAUUUAGCUUAUGUUAUUAGUUUUCUAAGUAGAUUUAUGUCUAAUCCUGAAAAACUAUAUUGGGCUUGGUUAAAAUGGCUAAUAAGAUAUAUUGCAGGAACCUUAAGUAUAGAUUAGAGUUUGAAAAGAUGUUUGAACAAUUGACUUUGAAAUAGUAUGUAAACUCUGAUUUUGCUUGAGAUAAAGACCAAAUUAAGUCUAUUGCUACCUAUUUCUUCACACUUGGCGAUAAUUACAUCACAUGAAUGUCACAACUUCAAUCCGUUGCCGCUUUAUCCAGCUAUGACACUUAAUAUGCGGUAAUCACUAAAUCUGUAAAAGAGUGUAUAUAGUUGAAAGGAAUUUUGAGUGAAUUAAAUUUUUUGCAUUAGUCACCUAUAAUUCUUACUGACAGUCAAAUUAUUUUACUUUUACAUAAGAGUCCUGUUUACCAUGAGAGGUCAAAACACAUCGAUGUAAAGUAUCACUUCAUAAAAGAAAAAUUAUCAUCUAGUGACUUAAUUCUUGAAAAAAAUUCAUAUUGAUGUUAAUCCAUCUAUAUGGGCACUAAAAUUCUAUAUGUUGGUAAACUCAAAUCAUGUUUAUCACUUCUCUAUAUUGUUAAUCUUUUGCAGGUACUUGGUGAUGAUGUAGGGUAAAUACCGUCUUGUGCAAAGUAGUAACUAGAGAGGGUGGGAGUUUUGAGAACCAAUGUGAAGAUUGUAAGUUGUGUUUCUCAAAACACGCUUUUUUUAGCAAAAAGGGUAUCUUUACUUGACUGCCUGGGAGAUUGACCAUUUGGUAGCCCCUUGUUGGAUGGCUUGGACUAACUCGAAUUGUGCUACUUGAACAAUCAUCUAGACCAUUGAGUAAAUCUAAAGGUUGAGAACUAAUCUCUCAACCAUUAAUGAUAGAAGAUACUGGUUGUUUGGACUCAAUCUAAGAUCAUUUUUAAUUAUCUAACUUCAGUCUCCUUUUCUUUCUCAAGAAGUCAUUUAUUCUUCUUCCUCUCUGGUUAAGCUAGUUCGUGAUUUGUAACUUGGUCAUUGUACCAACUAGUGCAAACUCUAUUGUCAUUGUACCAACUAGUGCAAACUCUAUUGUGCAGUGUUUUAGGCUUGAUUAAUGGCUGGAAAAUUUGUACGUUGGUUAGGUUGGACUUUGGAGAGUUUCUUGAUAUUGUGAAUCAAGGUUUUGUUGUUCUGUGAGAUCUUUAGGAUCGAUGACCUGAUUUGUGUUCUGAUAUGGUUGAUUUUCACUAUACACUAUUUCUUGAAGGUUCUUUUCACUAGUGACGAGCUUACCUUCGAGCUCCCAAAAUUUGGUCUGGUCGAACUAGGUGUUCAAUCGAUCAUAUUAUUUUUCUGCUUUCCUUUGUUUGGUUGGUUCGUUUUUAUUAUUAGAUCUUUAAUUUGAGUCAAAAUACCCAACAAAUACAUUAUCUAAUUAUGAUAGAUUUAAUUACUCACGUCACAAGCGACUUAGAGCGCUAUAGCAUUGAACUUGGAUUUUGUGGAAGUCGUAUGUAGAGUGGAGAAAUCAGGCGAUAAGUUUUGGACAUUAAGAAAACUCUUGGACUAAAUGAGUGGGCCAAUAUUAACCAUUAAAGCAAAAAUUGACCCAAGUUUUUAAAGAUGGGCCUAAAAGAGUAAAGAAACCAUCCGUAGCAAGCCUAAGCCCAAGACUGCAUGGAUCUUUUGCAAUUUCAGACCACCUGCUGCGGAUUAAAACCAUAUAAUGAUCAAGGCAAGUGAAAAUGAUUUUAUUUUAUUUUUCACAAAACAAAUUAAAAGGAUGAAUAUUAGACCAGUCCAAACCUUGAUAUAAGAAAAAUUGUUGAUUUGAAUAGUUAGAUAAUUGAUCCAAAUUCCAGCUCUUUUUCAUCUCAAACAACAAGUGGGAACCUUUAAAUUGUGGAAUGGAUUGAUUAAAGUUCGGUUGUGACUUGGAUGAGAUUUUGGUUACAAGAUGGAGGAAGGAUAUAAUUUUAUUUAUUUAUUUUUUGCAAUGAAGAACAUGCAUUAUGAAGUUUGAUAUCGUGAUAAAAUUAUUUGUUGAUUUUGACUUGAACUUUAAUUUAUUUUUUUUUAGUUGAACAAAACACGGGCUAAAUAAGAAGACCGAAAAAAAAAGAGAAGAUAUUCAUAGGGGUAUGUGUUGGAAAUUAUGGCCCUGUUUGAUAUUGAUUUAAAUCAGAUUUUAAUUUAAAUUAAAGUCAAACAAUCAAUUUUGAUCAUAUAUUUCAUAGGUCUCACAACUUUUCAACCACACAUUUCAAAAAUUUUUAUUAAAAUUUUAAAAAAAUCUAAUUUUAAUACCCACUAAAUAGAGGCUAUAUAUGCAUCCAGCGCGGAAAUUUAAUAAUUGAUUAUCAUUCACCAGAUCAACUUUGAAGUCUAACGUGAUUUUUGUUUAGAAUUGUUACCUACCAGAAGAAACAUUUAUCUCUUUACUUAAAUUUCUACACUCAACUAUUUAAACCUCAACCAACUACAGUUCCAUUAGAAUCAUCCAGUCUUUAAAAGUAAUCCAUAUAUAUGAAAAUUUAAAAGGCUGCUAUGGUGGCUAUGGUUCGGAGAUCCUAAUUUCUUGUGCUAACAAUAUUUACAAUUCCUUAACUCUUAUGUAAGUAUAUAUAGACUCUUAGUUGGAUGAAGCCCGUUACUCCCAACUUAUACCCAAUAUCUACAACCACAAUUAAAUAAUCAUAUUACUUAGAUAGGACCUAUUUCUUAAUUAGUGUUGACACACAAAAAGUUUAGCUCAAGUCGAAUAGUCCAAGAAAUGAAGUCCAACUGGAAGAUCCCCAAAAAAUCAAAUAGCCCAAAGAACGAAUCAAUCAGGCAAUACAGGAUAAAGGUCCAAAUAGGGAAGCCCAUGAACGCGGUAAUACCAUCGCCCAAGGUUGCAAGUCGCCCAAGAUUUGAGCGAAUGAAUUGCCAUGCAGUCGCCCAAAGCUGUGACCCUACUCUUGUCCAAACAUUCGAGUCGCCCAACAUCUUAGCAAACAUAAGGUGUUAUGGUGCAGUUAAUAAAACAGUUAUUGGGUAGUCCUACCACAUCCCACGAUUCAAAGAAUUCAAUUGAAGACGGUUGAACGACAAAAGUAAUGGUAGCAGUUAGAGAAGGCAGUUUCAUGAUAAGUUGGCUACUAUAAGGGAAGUGGACAGUUAUAGAGCGAUCAAGCAGUUUUUAAGCGGUUGAUCAUGAGGAGAUCAUCCAGGGAAUAUAAAAGGAAGAAAAGACAUAGAGCAAAAGACCUCCGAAUCAAACACUCUCAAAUAGAGAAUAUGUAACUUUCAAUUUCUAAGUUUAGAUUUAAACACUUCUUUUACAGUAACUCGUAUGCUUGCGCCCCCUUGGAGGCAUUCUAUUUUUCACUUUCCAAUUGUAAAAUCAUCGCCAAUAAAAACGCCCCUUUUUGGGACAUUGUCUUAAGAGGUUUGUCCCUUACACAAUCGUCUGAUCCCCAUUUUAAUUGUUAGAGACUAAGCCCGCGCGAAACAAUUUGGCACGCCCAGUGGGACAGUGGUGUUUGGUGUUGAAAAUACAAAAUGUGAAACAAUAUGCCUCAGAGAUCCAAUAAGGAAACAACAAGUUAAGGAGGAGUCCAGUCUAUGAUCGAGCGAUAUGAGGAGCAGCAUAACUCUCCACGAACAGAUGGACAGAAUCAAAGCAGUAACAGUCGUUAUGAAUCAAUGGUAGAGUUGAGUCCUCGAACCAUGCGUGCAUUGCUUGGAGAACUUACACAAGAUGUCGUUGAACAGAUAAAUCUUCGAAAUAUUCAUAAUAUGGAAAGAUUUGCCCAGAAUGAGAAUGCACAUUAUGACAACAUGCCCAAACAACUGAAUACUUUGAAUGACAUAAUGAAUAAGUUAGUAGGUCAAAUUUGUCAACCAAUUACGCCUCUUGCAAAUCACUUUCACACUAGGGCAGUUGUGGGACAUAAUCCCCCAAUCCUAAAUCCAAGUCAAGGGGUAGAACCACAUUUCGGUCCCUUUACUUCAAACCAAGGGGAUGAAGUAAUGCUAAACCAGAAUAAUGGUAGUAGUACGCCUAACUUGGGGGGUAAUCCAAAUGUAAGAAAUAAUGUCCUAAAUAACGGGCAGAAUACCCCACUUGUUAAUGAGGAAAUAAAUGUUCAGGCUAAUGGUAACAAUGGUCCAAAUCAUGGUAACUUUAUUCCUAAUCAAGGACCAAAUAUCAGAUCUUAAGCAAAUCAACCGGUCAACCAACCUGUAGGGAUUCCAUAUGACCCCAACGUCAUGUUGAGGAAUCAGAUUAUGGAAAUCAUACAGGACCAGAUGGCUUUUGGGGUACGUUCUGUCAUUAGGUCGACUUACACAAAGCUAUAUCCUGAUUGGAUAGACCAAGCAUAUCCAUGGCCUAGAGGGUAUAAAGUGCUAGAAUUCUCACUAUUUACCGGUUUAGGGGAGGUGUCCACUCUAAAACACAUAGGACGAUUCACACUGCAAAGUGGUGACGUAACUGAUUAUCAUAAAAUGAGGCUUUUCUCUAGUUCAUUAAUAGGAGUAGUUUUCUUCUGGUUCAUAAAUUUGUUAGCGAAUUCUGUUCAAACAUGGCAACAAUUGGAACAAUUGUUCCACGCUCAGUUUUAUAAGACUGAGUCUGAAGUUAAUUUGGCCGAUUUGGCGAACCUACGUCAAAUGCCAAACGAAUGGGCAGAAGGUUUCCUCCAAAGGUUCAAGACAGCAAGAAGUAAAUGUUUUGUACCUCUGCCCAAAAUUUUUUUUGUCAAAAUCGCUCAAGGUUGUUUGAGCUUUGAUUUAAAAAAGAAAUUCCAAGAGAAGGAAUUUCCUGACCUUUUCCAAUUGAGUGCGAACGUGAUUAGGUAUGAACGAUUGAUAAGAGAAGAAGAGCAGAUAAAUUUUUUUAGCAAAGGGACUUAUUAUAAAGACCCAAAUUUUGAUAUUCAUACCAUCAAUAACGAGUCAUACGAUCAGACCGAAAUGUGUUUGGCCGAAUUAGUCAAAGGAGACACGUAUACUUGUCCUAUAAUGGCUAAACCUAGACUAUCGGGUAAUGAUGAGCCUAUGAAAGAUGAAAACGUAAAAGGUAGGACGUUCUCGUUCGAUGUAACCAAAGCUGACCUUAUAUUUGAUAAAUUAUAUAAGGAUAAGCAAAUAAAGCUGAGCGAUAAGUAUAAAUUGCCAAACCCUGAACAAAUAAAGGGUAAAAAAUAUUGCAAGUGGCAUAAUGCAUGAUCACAUUUGAUUAACAAUUGCUUGAUUUUUUGCCAUGUGUUGUAGGAUGCCAUUGAAUCAAGACGAAUUACGUUCGAUGAUAAGAAGAAAAUGGCAGUAGAUGAAAAUUCUUUUCCACAACCACUUGGAGUGAAUAUGGUGACGUCUGGUUUCAAAAACAAGUUGUCAAAAUUCAAAUUGUUUAUAGAUGAUGGAGAAGAAGACCCUGGACCACAUCCCAGUGUCUUUGAGCGUAUUAAAGGGAAGGAGCCAAAGAAGGAUGAAAACGUCUUGUGUGUAAGAUGUAAAAGAGAAGUGAGUGGGAAUACGGAGAAACCAGGGACAUGACGGCAUCCCCAUCGCCCUACUCUCCUCCCAAACGUUUAGCCUGGUAGAGGGUGAGGUACAUCGUUCUACAAAGGACCACCUUUUGAAAGGCAGUUAAGGCCAGUAGAUAAUGGGAGAACAUUCAGGCCUCAACCUCGCCAACCAAAUGUAUGGCAUUCGUUCCAGUAUAAUGCAGGAAGGGCAAUACCCUUUGACGAGAUGAAUAGAACCCAACAAAGGCGUUUCCAAUAAAAUUAUGGACGAAUGAUGAGGCAACAAUAGGGAGUGCCACAUCCUAAGGCGCCUAAACUACUCAAGGUAGCCAAUCAAAAUAUUCUCAAAGAUAGUGAAAAGAUCGGUACAGAUGAAUCAAUGAAAGAGUUGCCAGAAACUUCUUCUGGGAGAUCGAAGUUUGAGCGAGACAGAAAGGAUGGAGAAGAUCCAGAUCAGCUCCUUACUAUUCAGUUCGGUACAUUACAUCCUGUUGUGGCUAAUAACUAUUUACUAGCCAAUGAGUUCAAGAAUAAAGAGAAAGAAGAAGAAGAAAGAGAGGAUAACGAAGGAGAAGCAUGCAUGCCGGAAUGUGAAUAAGGCAACUUCAAGAGAGGCCUGCAAUGAUGAGGAAGAUGAUGGUAUGAUAGACAUUGAAGAGGAAAUUGAUCUGGAAGCAGAAAGGAGAAGAAGAGGAGUAUCGCACAAUACUCCGUUGAAGCAACUCCAUCGAGAGGGAGUUCGUGAAGUAGACUUAUUGGGAGAACCAUCUGGGCGUUCUUUCUAUUUUUACGCGUUGUACGGGACACCCAAAAGAAAGGAGAGAGUGCUUCGUUCUGAAAAGUAUGGAUCGCUUCCAAGAAUAAUGUCUCCUCCCACAGGUUGGGUAACUGAAGAUGAAGCAUCAGAAAACAGUAAAAAGGGAAUUCAAGAGACAGAGGCUCAGUGCGAUAUGCUGCAUGUUGACUUAUCACAAAAGGAUAACUCAACAGAGGACAAGCAGGAAGUAGAAAUAGAGGCUGCCGAAAAGGUUAUUUUUAAACGGCCAGUCAUGAAAUUGACUAAACACUUGAGGCCGUUGUACGUUAAAGCUCUAGUUAACGGUAUACCUGUGGCAAAAGUGCUUGUCGAUAAUGGAGCAGCUAUAAACACCAUUCCAUCUAGGAUGACGAGGAAAUUUGCAAAUACAGAAGGGGAUAUGAUUCCAACAGAAGUCAUCUUACAAGUUUCAAUGGAGGAGCGACUGCAGCUAAGGGAGUUAUGCCAUUGGACAUAACUAUAGGUACAACUACUAGGACCACAGUCUUCUUUGUAAUAGAUGGUCCAACUAGUUACAAUGUGUUACUAGGAAGAGAUUGGACACACGAAAGUCGAUGUAUACCCUCAUCGCUCCAUCAAUGCCUGAUUUUUUUGGAAUAACAAGGGUGAAGCAGAGGUGGUGCAGGCCAAUCAUAGGCCUUUUGUCGUAGAAGCAAACUCAGUGGAAAAGUUCAUGUACGAAGGAAACUAUGGACCUGUCAAAGUAGUACAAGAUGGGGAAGAAACUCAAAUUAUCGUGCAGAGCGAAGAGCCAUUUUUAGUGGACGCACUCACUGAAAUGUUCAGUCAGACGAGGCCAAAUAUAGUGGCCCUAGAAGAGCCAGUAAUUGGCAAAAGAAUAAUUAAAGAGUCUUGAAUGAGUUCUAAGCAACAAGAGCAAAUGGACGAUAUUCAGGCCUUCAAAGCCAAAUCAAUGGCUUUCAAUAAAGAACGCAAGGACAAGACAAAAGAAGAGGCAGCCCUAAAAGCGCUGAAAGACAAAUUAGCAGUAUUCGAAUUGGAACAAAGUAUUGGUCGAGAAGUCAACAAGGUAGAUUGUUUAGAAGAAGAAGUGCUUACAAGGGAACUGGACGAUGAAGUAAUGCGGAUCAUCAAGCCUGGACACGCUCAAGCACAAGACCCUCUGAUUAAAGCAAAUAUUGGCAAUGAAGGAGAAGACCGUCCAAAUUCAUCAGCCAGAUGCUCAAUCAAGAGGUUCCCCUAAUCCUCGUUCUGUCGAGAAGAAGUGAUGUUCAAUUCAGCCACAACAUCAUCAUCAACUUCUAACUUCUUGUACUGCUCGACCAAAGACUUAGUUCGCUCAAUUCUUUGGGAGGCAUUACGCUUUUUAGCAGCCAUUCUCGCCUUGCAGUCGUCCAUCUUGGCUUGAAACUCCUUCAUCUAAGCAGCCAAACUAGUCAUCAAAGAGUCUUCAAUCAUGACUUCGAAAGAAAUUUCUUUCAACUCGUCCUCAGCUUUGUUGAUCUCCAGAAGCAAAGACUCUUUUUCAGAUACGGCGCGAAGAUAUUGAGUACUUUUGGCCUUUAGUUCAACAUUCUUGGCCAGCAAGGAGAGGACCUCGGAAUGGAUAACUUUCAACGUCGCUUUAAAAUUAGUAGAAAGAUUGAGCGAUGGAAGUGUCAGUGCUUGCUCCAAUUUAGCAUUCAAAUGGUCAAGUUUAUCCUUAUGCCUGGCAGCACUAGCCUUACCGAUGUCCAUAUCCAUGAAGGACACAUACUCAAAUAUCGACUGCUUGAGGAACUUCAUAUCGUUCUCUGAAGAAGCAGAAGGACAACUGGCUGAAGCAGGGCGAGAUGUUUUGACUUGCCUCCAUGAAGCGAACAAGUCUUGAAUGGAACGUACAAUUUUAUCAGUAUCCUGCAAAGAAAAUCGCCAAUAUUGAAGGUUUCCACUACACUAAACAAAGUGGAGGUAAAAGUGAAGCAAAGAUUACCUCAUCAGCAAUAUUGGAAGAUGACAUAUCCCCAGCCAAAUCUGCCACCUGUGGCUCCACCAUUCGCGAGGACUUCCCCUUGUCUAAACGAGAAGACCUUGUCGCAACGGGAAGACUUAUGGGAACAUCUGCAGAACUCAAAAGGCAACAAAUCAACACCAAUAGCACAAGCAAAGGUAAAGCAUCAAAAAACGAAUUACCUUCUGUUUCGACGUUUGGGGGGUCAAUGCCCUGGGAAGAAGGUGGCUCGUCCAUUGGUUGUGAUGAAGAUUUUGGGAUUGAAGAUUUCUCUUUAAGCGUAGUCCUUUCAUCAGCUGGUUUGGACGAAGCAGCCCCAGCAGAGGAUGAUGGAGUAGGAGCUGCCAACACCAAAGUCUUUAAGGGAGAGGUUGGACUUUUCUGAGAAGUCCAAAUAAAUUAUCAGCACAUGGAAAAGUCUCAAGUAUGGAAAUGUAUGCUUAUGAGUAAACCAAUUUAAUUACCUUCCUCCUGACAAUGAGAGGGGUAUCAUCAUCAUCAUCAUCCUCCAAAAUGGGAGACGCUGAGGUUGGCUGUUUGCGGCUUGGGGCACUUUUAGCUGCAGUGGGCUUGGCAGGAAGAGAAGUCGAUGGACGGACAGAUUGUUUAGCACGAGCAGGAGAAGAGAGACUCCUAAUGGACACAGGAGUGACCAAAACAGGAGAGGUAGAAGAAAUGUUUGAAUGGUCUAGUGAAUGGAAAGCACGAUUGGCAUCAGUUGCAAAUAAUCUGCGCUUCACUGACGGCCAGAGUCGUUCAAAAAGGGGUUGGAUGGCACGGUUAGGAUUGAACGGGGCUAAUGAAAAGUUGCUCGUCAAAAGAAGAUUGCGAGUAUUUAUAGCCUCUGCCUCCACUUUAUUAAUGGUGUGGAAACGGUCUAUCAAAUUCUUUGAAUGGCAAGGGGAAACGGGCCAAGUUUGGCCAAAACCAAGUGGGCGAGCAAAAAAUUGGGGAGCACAUAUUUCUACCCUAGCCUUGGCGUUAGUCCCAGUCAAAAUAUCAUGGAACAACUCCCUCCCGGUCAAAAAAUGAAUCCAAAUGAACAGAGAGGUGCUUGCACUAUCCAUAGUGGAUGGAGGUUGCACAUAAUCUGGAGUCAAAAAAUGAGGAAAAGGAAAGAAGGAAGGGAUUGAAUCCAAAGUAUAAAAGAAUGAAAAAAUGUCCCUUCUAGACAUAUUUACAGGAGUCAAGGCCUCAAUGGCUAACCCAUAACAGCUAGCAGAAGGACUGAAAAAGGAUGGAGCACCAAGUGAUGGAAAAUAAACUAUCAACCACAUUUGAGCGAACCAAAGAGGCCCACUGCUAGUGGGAGAUGCACCAUUCUUCAAUUGGGAUUGAAGAGAUGCCAUGCCUCUAUAGAGAGCAGUUAAAAAGAAAGAACAUAAAUUCAAAGGCCCACCACGCGCCAAUUCGUGCGCUAUGAGUAAAUAGCUCAAGGAGGGCUUUAUGCUUGGCAUACACAAAAUGUAUUUACAAAGCCAAAUCAGAAGAAAGGUCACUCGCUCAGUAUGGGAAGGCUCAGCACUCGAGUGGUUAUGAAGGGUUUGCAAACUUGAAUAAGACUCGGUGAGGCCUUUACCAAAUUUUGGGGCGACACCAGAAAUCAAAAUACUAGGGAAAAUGGUAUCGCCCAAAGGUGACAGAUUUACUAGGGCCCCAACAUCCCUUAAGGUAAUGGACAUGGGACCAAGAGGAAAAAUAAAAGUAUUAUACUCAGAAGACCAAAAACUUAAAGCGAUUGGAAAAAGUACUGGGUCAAAAAUAGGGGGUUGAAGAGAGAUUUCUAACAAAUUAGAAAUCCUAAAAAUUGCCUUAGUAGGACCAUGGUCCACAAGGCGAGCAUGCCAUCUACGAAAAACGACAUCAGAUUUAGGCCAAGUGCGAAUACCUCUUUCGCGAAGUGGCCCCAGCGGCAAAGAAUUUAGAAACAGAGGGCCCUGAGUACAAGGGAACAGCUGACCGACCGUCACUUGUUUGAUGGCCUCGGCAUUAUUGAAUGAAGGACCUAGAUAGAACUCAUUGAGUUCGACAUUGGCCGGUGCAAGAAAGUUCGAAGUUACAUAUGGCUGAGUAAGGAGUUUCUGAAAGUCUUUGAAACUGAAGGAGUCACCAGACUGAGAUUGUGAAGCAGCCAUUAGAGACGAAAUAGAGUUUUGCAGAGUUAUGUAGCAGAGAAGCAAAGAGAUGAACAGUAAUAUUGCGAGAGAGGCGCGAAAAAAUGAGGCGUGAUUUAGUGGUGCAAUGAAAUAGCGUAUUUGAGGGUUAUAAGGGUUUGCAAACAUCGCACCUUUUCAGGCUAUGGAAGAAAACAAUGAUUGAAAUUCUUGGAAAUUUCGAAUGUUGCUGGGAAGCACAAAGUGAAUAUGGCAAAAAUUAAUAAUUGGUAUUAAUUCUACCAUAUUGGGAGGUAAUUGUUGACACACAAAAAGUUCAGUCCAAGUCGAAUAGCCCAAGGAAUGAAGCCUAACUGGAAGAUCCCCAAAAAAUCAAAUAGCCCAAAGAACGAAUCAAUCAGGCAAUACAGGAUAAAGGCCCAAAUAGGAAAGCCUAUGAACGCGGUAAUACCAUUGCCCAAGGUUGCAAGUCGCCCAAGAUUGAGCGAAUGAAUUGCCAUGCAGUCGUCCAAAGCUGUGACCUUACUCUCGUCCAAACAUUCGAGUCGUCCAACAUCUUAGCAAACAUAAGGUGUUAUGGUGCAGUUAAUAAAGCAGUUAUUGGAUAGUCCUACCACGUCCCAAGAUUCAAAGAAUUCAAUUGAAGACAGUUGAACGACAAAAGUAAUGGUAGUAGUUAGAGAAGGCAGUUUCAUGACAAGUUGGCCACCACAAGGGAAGUGGACAGUUAUAGAGCGAUCAAGCAGUUUUUAAGCGGUUGAUCACGAAGAGAUCAUCCAGGGAAUAUAAAAGGAAGAAAAGACAUAAAGCAAAAGACCCCUGAAUCAAACACUCUCAAACAGAGAAUAUGUAACUUUCAAUUUCUUAAUUUAGAUUUAAAUACUUUUUUUACAGUAACUCGUGUGCUUGCGCCCUUUGGGGGCAUUCUGUUUUUUACUUUCCAAUUGUAAAGUCAUCGCUAAUAAAAAUGUCCCUUUUUGGGACUUUGUCUCAAGAUGUUUGUCCCUUACACAAUCGUUUGAUCCUUUUUAAUUGUUAGCGACUAAACUCGCGCGAAACAAUUAGUCAUACAACUUAUGUAGACAAUUAAUCAAAUUCACAAAUGUCCUACAUUUGUCAUUUAAUUAAUUUCAUUUGAUCUUCCAACUUUUAUCCUUUUAGCGUGACUCAUUAGAGUCUCAUCAACGAUGAUAGAUAAUUAUUAAAUUGAUCGUCUAGGCAAUUCAUGUGAAGGGAUUAGUGAUAUGAUAUGACAAGAAAUUUCAAGCUUGGUUAGUGUGAAAUAAAAUUUCUUUAUCAAGUAUAUUCCAAUUUGUUAGGAGUUAUGAAAUUGUUAAUAUCAGUUUACCAAUUAUGUUAUUCAUCGCUUCGAGCAAUCGGCAUACAUAUGUGUGAAAAUCCCUUUUUAACCAAAACUUUAACUUUCUCAAGGAAUCGAUGUAUGUAUACUUGAGAUCAUGAUAGGCAAAAUAUAAUUUUUUUACCAUCCAAGAGUGAUAAUUCAAUUUUUAAUCAUCAUAUUCAUGUGAUUCACAACACACCCAGUUAGUUUCAUAUUAGAUAACCUUGAAUAGAGUUACAUAUAAUAUCAUCAAAGUUGUUGAUCUACAUGUGAAAUUUCACGAUGAUCUAAAGUCGAAGAUCAAUUUCACAACUCUCAUUGAUAAUUGGUCCUGAUAUUGAGAUAGUUAUGUAUCUGGAAUCUCUACGGUGUGUCAACCGACAAAUUAUUAAGUUUCACCAUACUUUAAUUGUGAAUGAACUACUUUUUUUCAAAAGAAAUAAGCACAAUAUAUGCUAAACUAUCCGUGAUGAUAAUAUCCAUGUCUCAUACCUACCUAUGAUCAGGGACAAUUCAAAAAUAAAACACCAUGACCUAUCUCAAUGUCAAUUUUUUUAUGAUUAAUAUAUGGCUGGUACUUGUUCUCUGAACUCCAUUAUUGAUAAUUCAAAGCAAUAAAUAAAUAGCAAAAAUGCUAACAUAUAAUGAAUAAAUGGAUUGAUAAUCAUAACGUAGUAAUUAUUUCCUCACAACUAUCAAAUAUUGGCAUAAUACUAACAAUAUAUUUAAAAAAAGAAAAUCACUUUCAAAAACAUAAAGAUGCAAAAUAUCAAUUUACACAAACAAUAUAUAAUUACAUAAAAAAAUUAUAGAAAAAAAUGAAAGAAAGAAAGAAAGAAAGGCAUUUAUUUUAAAUAAAUAUAUAAAAUUAAGGAAAAUAAUGAGAGGGGCGUUAUUUGGGGCUAAAAUAUAGAGGUAAGUGUAUUUGGGAAUUAUUUUUACAUGUCAUACAUUCUAAAAAAAUUACUUUUAGAAAAUUUAUUCUCUCAAAAAUAGGACUCAGACAUAGCAUAAAUGAGAUUUAGAUCAAAUCAACUUUUAAUUAAUAACAUUAUUCAUAAGAGUACUAUAAUUAAAAGUUAUAAAAAUUAAAAUAUUUUGCGAUAUGAUGAGACAAAUAUUAUUAUUUUGGAUGGACUAGCAGAUAUUAUAUCACUCUCUUGAGAAGAGGGUAGUUAAUUUUACUGAUUAGAGGUAGGAAAACUAUGUAAAAUAUACGUGGAUGCUAGUUUGUUGAACAAUUUCAUUGGAGAUUGCUGUAAAAAUUUCACAUGGAUUAAUGCUCUCUCAAUAUCACUAGAUUAUAUCUUAUGCGUGGAUUGAUACUCUUUGAAAAUGUUGGACGUGAUUUUUUAAAGGUAUACAAUUUUAAAUGAGUAUGAUAAAGAGUCACAUGAAGAUUUAUAAAUGGUUAAGAACGAUUUCACCGCUCUAAAAUAAUAAGAGAUUAUGUCUUGACUUUUAUGAACUUAUAUAUUAUUCUAGAUUUAUUUAUUAUUAUUAUUUUUUUAUCAUAAUGAAAUUAUGAUUUAAAAGGAGUUUCAAAGAGAUCUCAAUAAAUUGAUUGCUUUAGUCAGAACGUGAUCGGUGAAAUGGGAUUGAUACUAAUUUCUUUUUCCAUAACAAAUUGAGACAUAUCUGACAUUAAAGAUCUUGUCCAACCACAUGAUAUAUACAAUCACAUGAGUUGUCUUGACAGAUUGCUAGAUGCGAAUUUCGUGCAAAUAAAUAUAAAUUAAGUGAUAAAUUAUACGUUAUUUGCAAUCGUGAUUGAUAAGUAUAGUUUAUACACUUAUUUAGAUUGUUUAAUAAGGAUAUUUUAAGAGUACUUUUCAUGAAUUAUAACUUAAUCUUUUGUAUUUAUUAUCUCUUAGGUACAACUCAAUUAUUGAAAGUGAAAUUAGAAAAAAUGAAUGAAAAUUCAACAAAAAUGAUGAUUUUUAAAGUUUGAAGACCAAAUUGCUAAUAUAAAAUAGUUUAUUUGAGCAAAAAAAUGAAGACUAAUGGUCAUCAUACAUGAUCAAUUGGAUGAGAUUACAAGUCAAUGGAAUGAAAUUGCAUGGAAAAUGACCAAAUUUUUUUCUAGAGGAAGUUCAAGGACCAACUAACUUAAUCACAAACUUUUUAAUACCAUGCGUGCGCAAGGUAGAACUAAUGCAAGUUCCCGUCAUGAGUAAUCUGAGGCCAAACUUGGUCUUCCAUGCGUGCACAACCAUGAUGUCCAUAUGUGUGCAUGGACAUUUUGGCCACACGAAUCUGCACUUUUCUUCUCUGAUACAAACUCUUUUGAAAACUAAUUUUUAAGAGUUUGUUGAUCUACAUUUGAAAGUAAAUUUUCUAUCACGAAUCGCACUAUAACAACGUUAUAGAUCUGGUGCACGGAAUUCAAUUUCAUUUUAUUUUAUAUAUGUCUAGUUUAAUUCCUAGCAACAUAUAUAUUUUGUUGUUUCAUUCACUCAAAACGUUCAAAUACAACAAAUUAUGUCUUUAUGUGUAGAUCACAUGAACUUGUGCAAUCUAGGACUAGUCACAUGGCUAUUAAUGUGACACUCAUAUUAUUGGCAAUUCCUACUAUCAUGUUCAAACCUAAAAUACACGACACUUUGACACCUUUAACAUGCACUGGUUUUUAUUUUAUGGAUAAUUCUACAUGUAAAUUAUGAUAUUCACAAGAAUGUCGACUACGUACAUGUGGAAUUUCAUAAUUGAAGGGUUGAAAAAUUAUUUUUCAAUUCUUCAAUGAUGUUAUGUCACUGGUACAUUAUGAAUACACUUAUGGACACCAUAAUGUACAUAUAAUAUAACUCUUAUUUUAUUUGGUUUCGAUUAAAAUCAAAAUUUUAAUAAAUUGAUGAAAUAUGUAGUUGAAAAUUAGUUUGAUAAAAAAAUGAAUAUUAAAAAAAUAGGAGUCAAACAUAGGCUAAAUAUACAAAAUCUGAGCAGCAAAUAUAUUGAAUUAUGUAUGGGCCUUAGUACUUUUCCACAUGGGAGGACCUAUAUUUGUUAUCCAAUUUUAUAAUUGAUUUUGUGUUAGGAAAUUAUUUAUCCAUGUAUAAAAAGGAGAAUGUGUACAAAAUUAGGUAGCGAAAAGCAUGUGUAAGGGAUAAAAUAUAAAAUGAUUUAUUAUGUAGUAUGUUUGUCUGUUAGUAUAAAAAACAAAGGGAAUCAAGUCAAAUAAAUUAUUUUGAGAGUGAAAACAAUAAUUAUUUUGAAUCGUUAUCUAAUGGUUCACGCAUAGUCGAUAUUAAGAUUUGACUCGUAUUAAAGCUUAUAAUAUCUAAUAUCAUAUGAUUUCUCUCAUCGUCCUUUCAUAUAUAUUUAUAUCACAAAAUUUAUGUAAAACACACCAUUUUUGAAUUGGGAAAAAUUAUUUUUCAACCCAAUUAAAUAGUCUACUUAUCUAAUGUCAAUAAAAGAGAAGGUUUUUACGUGAGCGCAUAAUUUGAUGUACAGCCAAGAAACAAAAUUAUUUAUUCUAUAUAUUUUAUUUAAUUCAUGAAUUUACUUAGUAAGUGGAUCCUAUAUUACAAAUAUUUUUCUAUAAAAUUUAUUGUCUUAUGAACUUAUCGAAUUAUUUCCUAAAUCACCAUGAGAAAACACGAUUUAAUCAAGGUUAUCAAUUUAUUGAGUAUAUAUGUCGAAUUAUUAUUUCUUGACUAACGUUUCUACAUGCCGUAGGAGAAAGCAACUCUACUUAGUAUAGAUACAUUAAAAGAGACAUCUAAUUGCCAUAAACCCUAGCUAAUGUGACGAGAAAAAGGUUCUUUGUUGUUAGCAGACCAUAAUUAUUAGAUAGAAGAAUACACAUCACAAAAAUGGAUACUUGAAAAGCACGCCAUUUAGAGUUAAAUUAUUAUUUUCUUAAAACUUAAUGACGUGUUUGAUAGCUCAAAUUCAACGGGAUUAAAUCAAAUAAUUGACAUAUUUUAUUACGUCUCUCUUCUUAAAUUUUCUUUAAUAAUAACUAGUUCAUCCUAUCAAACGAUGCCUAAGCCAAAUUCUAUGCGAACUUUCUUGGUCUAAUUCAUUCAAGACCAUUAGUCAAUGAGUAAAUGCACACGGAGUCUUGUUGUGUGUAUAAAAAGGUAUUUCAUAGAAUUGCUACAGAUAACUCACUAUAAGAGGUAGGGUGGGGGAUUUUUUUUGACAUUUUUUUAUCAUCACAUGGGGCUUAAACGUGAGAUUUUCGGUGGAAUUCCGUAAUUUCAUUUUCUGUACAAAUGGAAUAAGCCACGUGCAUGAGUUUGAUGUUUGUACUUGUUCUAUGUCACCAAUAGCCAUGAAUAAGUAACUUCAUAUAGACUGAAGAAUUAAUUUAUUUCUAUUUAAAAAAAAAAAAAACAACCAAAAGCAUUAGUCAAUAUCUUCCAUACAUUGAAGCAAUAAUGCAAGACAAACAAUCAGUCGAACACGAAGAAAUAUUAUGCACAAUAGCAUACGAAGCCACUCACAUAGAGAAGAGAACCUGAUAGGAACCCACUCUUUAUAGAAGCUUGAAUUCAAAAGCUUAUCCGUCCAAAAAUUUAUACUCAACUAAAUUGAUAAGUUAGAAGUAUGUUUAAUGAUAAGUUUGUUUUUACACACUUAUUCAGUUCACAAAAUAUGACUAAUUAUUGAUAAAAUUGGUUGAUUAUGAUUUAAUUCUAUGCAAUUUUAUGUUAUAGAGCCAUAUUGAUGGAUAUGAUGGAAUUCACGAGAAAAAGAAGCAAAAAUGACCAAAACGCACCAAAAUGAAAGUUCAAGGACCAACAUACAAAUAUCCAAAAGAUGAACAAAAGGAGCAAUCAAAGAUUCUAUCAAGCCAAGUACCAAUUGGAGGUUAACAUUGAUAGGGGGAACGAAAAGAAGGAAGAAACGAGGCCAAGAAUGUGGAAAAUAAAGUUUAAGGACCAAAAUCAACGUUAGGGAAAAAGGAAACCUAUGCAGUCGCAUAGGCUAUACCUAUGCGAUCGCAUAGGAACCUCCCGAGCAUUAAAGGGCCAAAUUUUUUUAGCCUAUGCAGUCGCAUAGGCAUAAAUCAGGGACCGAACCUGCAGUUUCCUAUUUUCGAUAUAACUUUUUUGGAACUCGAUUGGGGCGCGAUAUAAAAACCUAGAGCUAUCAUAUUUCGAGGGACAACGUAUUGGGAGGCGAGAAACUGUAUCUUGGAAAGGUUUUUGAGCGCAAGCAACGAAGAAUUGCACGAGGAUUUUCAAGAUUUAUCAAGAAUUCAUAAACUGGUGAUGUUUUUUCUUCAAAAUUUGAUGUAUUCUUAUAUUUUAUCUAUGGUAGGCUAGAUUUUCAUGUACUAGGAGAUUGAUAUACCAUGUGAUUUGAUCUUUAAUUUUUUAGUUUUACAAUUUGACAUUAAAAACACGUUUUGAUUGUUUUGAAUGAUUUAUAUGCAAUUAUUGUUUCCGCAAUUAAGGGCCUGUAAUUGUGUGAGUUUAGGUGACUUAUUCUUGCAUUUGAGAGAAUUGGAAUAGGUUCGACAUAAUAUAAAUCAUCGUAGGGUCCGAUAGGGGAUAGAAAUAUAUCGCUAUGCCUUACGUGAAUCUUUAAGUGUUCACAAAAACAGCAUGCAUUUUUAUAUAUACAAUUGUCAUAGAAAUAUAGGUCGGUGGUAUGUAAAAAUAGGUUCGAUACAUCUCGAGAGAGAGUAUUGGAUAAAUUUAGGAGUAUUGAUUCGUUAACAAUUUAAGUGUGUUGUCACAUUGUGAAAUUAGGGUUUAAAGUGAUAAUUGUAUGGAAAAUCGUGAUCCUAGUGCUUUUAAUUUCCAUUGAAUAUAACCAAUUCGCAUUCUAAACAUAAAAUUUGCAUUUUAAUUCAUUAAAAUAUCGUUUUGCAUACUGAGUUCAUUCCAAUUAUUAAGUUUGCAUAUUAGAUUCACUAAAUUAGUGUUUUUCUAAGAAUAAAUUCCAGUUUUGACAGAUUUAUUUUGAUUAAGGCUAAAAUAGUUAGAAUUGAACUACUCAAUCUCUGUGGGACGAUACGCGAAACUUAACAUUCCACUUUAUUAUUUGUUAAUGAACCGUACACUUGCGGUGAUUUUAAUUGAAAGAAAAUAUUUCGUGAACAAGUUUUUGGCUCUGUUGAUGGGGAUAUAUUAUUCAUUUAAUUUUAAUUAUAUUGGCACUAAUUCAAACAUUUAUCUUUUCAUUUUCUAUUAUUUUGUUGUGUUUUAUUUCAAUUUAUUCAAUUUUAUUUUGAUUUGUUCUAUUUAAUAUUUCAUUUUAACCCUUAUCACAGAUUUGCAUGUUGCAGUCUGCUGAAGGAGAAUUGAUCUCAACUGAUUCAUAAAUCGAACGAACUCUACAUCGAAGGCAGGGAGAAAAUAGAGAGGCACAACAACAAAUGGCUAACGAACUGAACAAUCCUAUUAUCCCAGCAAAUGAAGUAGAAGCAGUGAACGAAGGAAAUGAAAAUUUGGGUGACUUCUUGACUCUGCAAGUGAUUCAAAGCCAGUCCAGCAUUGUGUAUCCACCGUUUGGGCAACCCAAUUUUCAAUUGAAAAUGAAUGUGAUACAGCUAUUCCAGAAUGGGCAUAAAUUUUAUGGUAGAAUUGAAGAAAAUCCACAUACACACAUAUCUAAAUUCUUGGAUAUGUGUCAACACUUUCGAUACCAAGGAAUUUCGGACGAUACUAUUAGGCUAAGACUUUUUCCACACACCUUGUGGGACAAGGCACUUGAAUGGUUGGAUUUACUUCCAGUUGCAAGUAUUACUACAUGGAACAAGUUGGCACAUAAAUUUUGCACAAAAUUCUUCUCACCGGCCAAGAUAGCAAAGUUAAGACAUGACAUAUUAGUAUUUAGUCAAGGAGAAAACAAAUCGUUUGACAAAGCCUGGAAUAAAUUCAAAAACAUGCUCUGGAAGUGUCCGCAACAUGGUUUUGACAAAAAAAACCCAAAUUCGAUUCUUCUAUACAGGGUUACUUCCAUACCACAAGAGCAUGGUGGACUUAGCGUCAGAUUGCUCAAUAUCCACGCGAACAGUUGAUGGGGCUUUGGAAUUAUUUGAGAAAAUGGCUACCACUGCAGCCAUGUGGUCUUUUGAAAGGGUGAUCCCAAGGAAAACUCCAGGUGUCUAUGAGGUAGAUACUUUUUUAGCUAUAUCUGCAAAAAUCGAUUCUCUGUAUCACACGAUGGAAAGUAUAUCACAGGCAGAACAGGCUAAGAAGAGCAAUUGUGAAGAAUGUGGAGCUGAACAUAAAAUAUUAGAAUGCCUAAUACUAAUGCACGGACUUGAGCAAGAAGACUAUGCACAAUGGAGACAACGCCAACAGAGCAAUUCAUAUGGAGAAACUUUCAAUCCCAGUUGGAAGAAGCAUCCCAAUUUCUCUUGGAGCAACCAGAAUCAAAAUAAGCCACAGGGAUAAUUUCAACAGCAAGAGAAGAAACCUCAAUCGGAAGAAAUGAUAGGAAAAUUUAUGGUGAAGGUUGAAGCAACACUUCAGAACCAAAAUGCAGCUAUCAAAAAUUUGGAAACUCAGGUGGGGCAAUUAGCCAUAGCAUUGACUGGCAGAACACUGGGAAACUUGCCAAGUAACACAAAAAUCAACCCCAAGGAGCAAGCUAAGGCCAUUGCAACUCGAAGUGGAGUGCAAUUACCAGAAAUACAUGUUAAGAGGCCGGCUGUGAUUGGGGAGAAAACUUCUCCUACAGAAGAAGAAACUCGUGAACAAGAUGAACAACCAAAGGAAUCAACCCUCGAAAAAAGCUCAAAAAAGUCACGGGAUAAAGCCAAAGUCACAAUCAACCCAUACGAACAUCUAAUUCCUUUCCCACAGCGGUUGAAGAAACAUAAAAUGGAGCAGCAGUAUAAGAAGUUUCUAGAAAUCUUCAAAAAGCUCCAUAUCAACAUCCCACUAGCUAAUGCACUCUUCCAGAUGCCUAACUAUGUGAAAUUUCUCAAGGAUAUUCUUUCAGAUAAACGCAAGUUAGAGGACCAUGAGAUAGUAAUGCUUACAAAGGAAUGUAGUGCCAGAAUCCAAAAAAAGCUCCCACCAAAAUUGAAAGAUCCAGGGAGUUUUAUCGUUCCUUGCACUAUUGGUAAAGUUUAUUUUGAAAAAUCCUUAUGUAACCUUAGUGCAAGUAUUAAUUUAAUGCCUCUAUCUGUUUUCAGGAAACUUGGCAUGGGAGAGGGUAAAUCAACUACUGUUACACUUCAGCUAGCUGACAGAUCCCUGACGCAUCCCAGAGGAAUAAUUGAAGAUGUUCUUAUCAAAGUUGAAAAAUUUAUAUUCCCUGCGAAUUUCCUCAUAUUGGACAUGGAAGAAGACAAGGACGUCCUGUUAAUACUCGGUAGACCAUUCUUGGCGAUAGGGAGAGUUUUGAUUGAUGUUCAAAGUGGGCAAUUGAUCUUAAGAUUGGGAGAGGAGCAAAUAGCAUUCAAUGUCUUCAAGGCCAUGAAACUUCCAGCAAAAUUAGAUAGUUGUUUCCAAGUUGAUAUCAUUGACAAAGCAGUAGAAGAGACAUUCUUGCUUCAUAGUCCAUCCAAUGCCUAUGAGGCAAGUAUUGCACAAUCCCAAUCAACCCAAUCAAAUUUUCUUGAGACUGAAACAUGCGCAAGGUUCUUAGAGACCAACCCACCAUAGACACGAAAGAGGCAAUUCGAGGAACUGGGGAUAGGAACUACAAAGCCACUACCUUCCAUUCAGAAACUGCCAAUUCUGGAACUGAACAGCUGCCCCCACACUUAAGAUAUGCAUACUUGGGAAAAUCAGGUACACUGCCAGUAAUUAUCUCGAACACAGUCAGUGAGGUAGAGGAAGAAAAAUUACUUAGGGUACUCAGAGAAAAUAAGACAGCAAUUGGGUGGACGAUAGCUGACAUAAAAGGGAUCAGCCCUUCUUUGUGUAUGCACAAAAUUCUCAUGGAGGAGAAUAGUAAGCCAAGUAUAAAGGGAUAGAGAAGGCUGAAUCCAAACAUUAAGGAAGUAGUCAGAGCAGAGGUAUUGAAAUUAUUGGAUACAGACAUUAUUUACCCAAUCUCAGAUAGUGCAUGGAUAAGCCCAGUUCAAGUUGUGCCGAAGAAGGGGGGAAUUAUAGUGGUUCAAAAUGAGAAGAAUGAGUUAAUCCCCACCAGAACAGUAACGGAAUGGAGAGUUUGCAUUGAUUAUCACAAACUCAAUGCAGCUACAUGAAAUGAUCAUUUUCCACUACCAUUUAUUGACCAGAUGUUGGAAAGAUUGGCAGGGCAUUCACACUACUACUUCCUUGAUGGAUACUCGGGCUACAAUCGGAUACCAGUCACACCAGAUGAUCAAGAAAAGACCACUUUCACUUGUCCUUAUGGCACUUUUGCCUACCGUAAGAUGCCUUUCGGCCUUUGCAACGCUCCAGCCACAUUCUAAAGAUGUAUGAUGGCAAUAUUUUUCGAUAUGAUUGAAAGGUUUAUCGAGGUAUUCAUGGACGACUUCUCAGUAUUUGGAUCUUAUUUGAUGAAUGUUUAGAGCACUUGAAUUUGGUAUUACAGAGAUGCAAGGAGACAAACCUGGUUUUGAAUUGGGAGAAAUGCCACUUUAUGGUGCAAGAAGGCAUUGUACUUGGACAUCGAGUUUCAGCGAAAGGAAUUGAAGUAGACAAGGAAAAAAUUCAGGUCAUAGAGAAAAUACCACUGCCUACAUAAGUUAAAAGGGUUCGCAGUUUCUUGGGGCAUGCGGGGUUUUAUAGGAAAUUCAUAAAGGACUUCUCAAAGAUCACUAAGCCGCUAUGCAAUUUUCUAAUGAAAGACAUACCCUUUGAGUUUAAUGAGGAAUGUCUCACAGCAUUCAACUUGUUGAAGGAGAAACUCACGACAACACUGGUAAUUGUGGCACCAGACUGAGAAUUGCCAUUUGAAUUAAUGUGUUAUGCCAGUGAUCACACCGUGGGUGCAGUAUUGGGAUAGCGGAGAAAUAAGGUUUUCCAUGUGAUCUACUAUGCCAACAGAACUCUAAAUGAUGCACAGAUCAAUUAUGCAACCACUGAAAAGGAGCUUUUGAUCAUGGUAUAUGCAUUUGAUAAGUUUAGAUCAUACCUUGUGGUGUCUAAGGUCAUUGUCUACAUAGAUCAUGCUGCACUGAAGUAUCUGCUCACAAAGAAGGAUGCAAAGUCGAGAUUGAUUCAUUGGGUGCUAUGGCUACAAGAAUUUGAUAUCGAGAUAAGAGACAAGAAAGGCAAUGAGAAUGUAGUAGCAGAUCACUUAUCCCGAUUGGAAUCCGGGGAGAUAGAAGAAUUUGUGGAUAUCAAUGAGAUCUUUCCAGUUGAGCAGAUGUUGAGAGUAGAUGAAGCAUCUUGGUACGCAGAUAUCGUCAACUAUCUAGCCAGAUCCAUCCCACCACCAGAUUAUUCGAAUCACCAGAGGAAAAAGUUCUUCGCCGAACUGAAGUACUAUUUUUGGAAAGAUCCAAUUCUCUAAAGGCGAGGGGCUGAUCAGAUAGUAAGAAGAUGCAUACCUGAAGAAGAAGUACUCGAGAUUUUUGAGCAAUGACAUUCAUCUGCAUAUACAGGGCACUUUGGGGCUUCGAAAAUAGCUGCAAAAAUCUUGCAAUCUGGAUUUUACUAGCCUACACUAUUUAGGGAUGCCUUCAAGUUUGUCAAGAGAUGUGAUAGAUGUCAAUGCACUGGAAAUAUCUCAAGGAGAAAUGAAAAUGCCACUGAAUAACAUUUUAGAAGUGGAGAUAUUCUAUGUCUGGGAAUUGACUUCACGUGACCUUUCCCUCAUUCAUUCUCAAAUCAGUACAUCUUAGUAGCUGUGGAUUAUGUAUCUAAAUGGGUGGAAACGGUUGCACUACCAACAAAUGACGCGAAGGUAGUAAUUGGAUUCCUGAAGGAGUAUAUUUUCACCCGUUAUAAUACACCGAGGGCUAUAAUCAGUGACAGAGGCAAACAUUUCCUUAAUCGUUAGUUUGAGCAGUUGUUGAAUAAAUAUGGUGUAAAACACUACGUAGCCACCCCAUAUCAUCCACAAACCAACAGACAAGUUGAAAUAUCUAAUUGACAGUUGAAGAGAAUAUUUGAAGUUACAUUAAAUUUAUCAAGAAAAGACUGGGCGAAAAAGCUGGAUGAUGCACUGUGGGCUUACAUGACAGCAUUCAAGAUACCGAUAGACAUGUCCCCAUACCGCCUAAUUUUUGGAAAAGCAUGCCAUCUGCCACUAGAGAUUGAACACCGAGCAUAUUGGGCCGUGAAACAGUUAAACAUGAAUUUGAAUGUCGCUGGUGAAAAACGUCUACUGCAACUUAAUGAGUUAGAUGAAUUCAGAAUAGAAGCAUAUGAAAACUCAAAGCUCUACAAAGAACGAACCAAAAAGUGGCACGACAUGCAUAUUCAGAGACGAGAGUUCAAAGUGGGGCAGGAGGUUCUAUUAUAUAACUCGAGACUCAAGCUUUUCCUAGGGAACUAAGGUCAAGGUUGUUGGGUCCCUACACUGUCACGAAGGUUCUACCAUAUGGGGCCAUUGAAGUCAGUUAUGAAACUAAGGGUACCUUUACAGUUAAUGGGCAAAUGUUGAAACAUUAUUGGGGCGGUGAUUUCUCCAAAGAAAAAUCCACUGUUCAACUCGGGACACCAGAAUGAAGCAGCUGCAGGAAAGUGAAGCUAUCAACUAUAAACUAGCGUUGGGUGAAAGGCAAUCCACUGUAUCCUUUGAUUCAUUUUAUCUUCAUUUGCAUUAGCUUAGGAAAUUUUAAUUUCAUGUUUUCAUUUUCAGUUGGGUCAUCGAUCAUCCUUGCAUGUCAAUAGAGUCUAAGCACCGUUCACACGAGUCCCUAGGCGUUAAGCACGAGUUAAAACAGAAUGAAGUUAUUUUUGGGUGAUUGAGGGUAUAAUUCACGCAUUUCAAGAUAAAAUGUCGUUUUCAAAAAUUUAAAGGGCCAAUGUGUAAUUGAGAGUUCAAAGUGGUUGUAGCACUAAGUUAAAACACCCACACACACACACACACGAAGAUGCUCAAAAAUCUAACUUUGAAAAGUUUGGGGUGUUGAAAGGUCGGGUCAUGGUAUUAAUUGAAAACCAAAGUCGGUCGAGGUCAUGGUCCGAGGAAAAAAUCAAAUAUUUUUAGUUUAUUUUGUUUUGUCUUAUUUCAUUUUAUUUUAUUAAUGUAAAAACAAAAAUGUCUAUGCGAUCGCAUAGACAUAGUGUCUAUGCGGUCGCAUAGACACCAACUGAAAAAAACAAGGGGGCCAAGGCAUAGUAGUGAAUCGGUCAUGGAUUUAACUCAUGACCGAUUCACUCUCAGUCACUCCCCUUUCAUCUUCCCCACCAACUCACGCACACACACACGCACACACACCUCUCACUCGAUUCAUAGGGCACGAUUUCUACCCAUAUUCACACACACAACACGCAAAUUCAUCACACUAUCAAGAAUUGGAGGGUAACUAAUUCACCCACAUUCACACCGAGUUUAAGGUACAAUCCUCUAAACCCUAAAUUAUUACUUCGAAUUGGAGGGUUUGAAUUUUCUUAUUUUCCAACAAUUGUUGAAUAUUGAAUAUUGAAUGUUAUGUCAUGUUUGUGAUUGUUGUGUGACAUUGGAUGCUAGUUUAGAAAGCUUCAUAUGCCAAAGUUGUGAAAACUUCAAAAUGCUCAUAAUGUGUUUGAUGAAAUGACCAAGUGAAAAAUUGUAUGCAUUUGGGUACUUCUUGCACGAGUAAUAACUGACAAAUAUGGUGGCUAACACAUUGUAACGAAUUCUCACAUCUAUUGAGAUAGAAAACAUAAAAAUCCAUUUUGCAACACAUAGAUACAUGGUUAGGUCACGGCAGGUCAUGACACCUCACGUCACCCACUUCGAUACAUAAUUUGACACACCAAACGAAAUCCGAUUGAUUUGAAAAUUGAGUAUGUGCUAGACCUCAUUGAAUACUUUCCUAUGCCUGGAGAUUUCUAGGGAAAAUUUCGAUAUUUCUCGAUGAUGCCGGGGGGUAGAAAGUGCGUUCUCGAUCAUGGAUCAAAUUUUCAUAAUGUGCAUGUUUGAGCCUAAUUUUGCUAGUUUUUUUCUAUUGGCGCAAUAUUUAUACUAUCUUGAAUAUCAUGUUUUGAAUAUUACACACCAAUGUGUUAUACAUGCAUGUUGAAGUAAGUUUGGGGGAUUUGUGAAAUACACACGCAAUCGAGAGCUCGAAGGGGGCGUACAGAAGUUCUUGAAUUCUGAUGCUAUAGCACGAUAUGAAAACAUUGUAAGUCGAUGGGCCGUGAUUCUAGAACGGCCAGUUAAGUUAGAGGAUUUCUCGAGCUAUGAAUUGAGUAUUUUGGUCGACAAUUGUGGAUGGGCAAGGAUAUUUGGGUAUCAACACCCUAUAUAUGAAACCUUAGUGGGCGAAUUCCAUGCAAACGUCAAUACUGAGAUUGACACACCAGGGUUUGAACAUAUGCAUCAGACAUGGGUGAAGGGAAAGUAGAUAAUGUUCUCGCCAGAGGUUAUACACGACUAUUAUUAGCUGACUUGGGACAACAUAUCUCCCAUCCUGGCCGUAUUCAACUGGAGGGAAGUUGCAUAAAUCUUGUUGGGACGAGAGAAUGCAUGGCCACUCCGCACCACUGAAUGACACCAGAUUGAGUUGACACCUUCGAUAGCCAUCUUGUGGCUAUUUAUGUGCCAUAACAUCGAGCCUACCUUGCACAGGACCACAUUUACAGAUGCCACAGCCAAAUUCAUUUAUCACCUGGUACAGGGAAAAAAAUUGAUCUCGUAACUUUAUGCUAUGAUCAAAUAGAUCAUGUGGGAACUCUGGGGGACAGGCACAACUCUAUGAUUUUUCCUAGCCUCAUCACUAGCAUAUGUAGGGCUGGGGGGAUCAAUAUUGCACCAGGGGAGGUGCCUACUAAACCUAGCCCCCUUAUAAAUCGCAAUACUUUGGAAGCUCAAGACAGAGCUAGGGUCAAGCACAGAGAAAGGAAGAGAAUGAGCAUCGUAGGUGGCAGGCAGAGCAGGCUAGGCCCCUAUAGAUUAGGAGAUGCCAUAGGUACCACUACCACAGGUUGGGGUCGAUACAAAGUUAUUGCGUCAAAUAUUCGCAACAACCACAGGGAUCAACUGCGAUAUACAGGGCAUCUAGCAAGCUCUAGGGGCUUUGAACACCGACAUAUAGACAGCUUGACGUGAUAUUAGUACUACUCAAACCAUGGCGCAGACUACAAAUCAGGAGGCCUGAUCAGCUAGGCGAGAGAUGGAAACUAUAAAUGGACGGCUGAGUAUAUAUGUGGGUAGAGUGGAUGGAAUACAGAUAAGAGUGAACGAGACUUGGGACCAAAUGCGUAGUAUAGAGGGCGAAGUUAGAGCACAAAGUAGCAUGAUGAGAGCCAUGCAAGCAGAACAAGUCCAGCAGUCGGAUCUAUAGAGGCAAAUCUUGGCUCAUUUCCCACAUCCACUGGACGACGACACCGCAAGACCCAGCUAUCAGUCAGCACCACCACAGUAAUCAGGAGAGUUUUAUUUAACUCAUUUUGCUAUUUUUAAUUUGCACUUGUCCUUCAAAUUAUGCCUUUUGGAACUUUUAGUUUUCACAUUGAGUGCAAUAUGCUGUAUAAGUUUGGGGAGUAGUGGCAUAAUUCUUGAACGUGUCACAUUUUGGAAACUAAAGUAUCGACAUGUAAUGUAAUCCUUUUUGAAAUGAUCACAGUCCAUCAAUACCUUGUUACUGAUUGCAUAUUGUGUGCUUGAUGAGUGAUUAUUGGAUCAAUAUGCUGUAUUAAGUUCAUUGCAUGACUGUGUGGAUUUGAUAGCCUUGCCGGCAAUGAUGUGAUUAUUGGAAGAGGUAAAUGAGAAUAUGGUGUAGAAUUUGAUUAACUGAUACUUGUUGAGGUAGUACUUAACAUUUCAUAUGCACGCCACUCAUGCCAUACAUGUCGGGUGAGUAAUUGGGUUUGAAUAAAGUAGGAGAAACCAGAAGACCUCAUUUAGAUUAAGCCAUAAAGUAAUGUAGACUAUAAACCAAAGUGCCUUAAUGAAUAGUUUGGAAACGGUUUAACAAUUAUGGGGGAACAUUGAGAUAAGCGGGGCUCCGUGCAUGAAUUACGCUAUGUGGAUUGCUUAAACAAGUGAGAUGAAAACUAGAAGAAGGUCUUAAAUUGGGGGUUGAUUCUAGAGACAAAAUGUCUAAAAACAUGCAAAAAGGGACAAAACACCUUUCCAAACCUUUAUGACUUGAGCAAGUAAGCCUUUAAGGAUAUUUCAAAAUCUGAUACCCCAAAGCCAACUGGUUUGGGAGUCACCGGCCUAAAACUCGUUACAGGAGUCAUAUAGAAAGCAAGAGAGAAAGAGGUCAAUAAAAAGUCAUCUUAUCAAGUCUUUAUAACUCGAGUGAAUAAGCCUACAAGAGUUUAAAACCUGGUGCUCUAAGGCCAACUGGUUUGGGAGUCACCGAUCUAAAGCUCGUUACAGGGGUUAUAUAGAAAGCAAAUGAGAGGGUGACAAUAAAAAAAAUAAAAAUUAAUAAUACAGAAUAUGAUGGUAUGAAUAAAGCCCUUGGACAUUCUGUUGAUAAAAAUCACACCUUCAAGGCGAGACAAGUAACUUAGUUUAAUCUCAAGUGUUGAAGCAAUCAAAUAUAUGAGAGCUUUCACUUGUUGACAUGUGAACCUGUGAUAGUGGGAUCUAUCCAAAUAAAGAGAGGGUAAGGACUACAGUCACCUAUACAUUUAACAUUAAAACACAACUUCGAGAUAAGUAAGUGAAAAGAUUAAGUUUUGGGGGGGGGGUUGUGUAUUUCUCGAGUGAAGUAAGGAUAUUUUUGACCAUUUUGGGAUUGAGAUUUAACCAAUCAUGAGCUUGAUACGUUGGCAUGACUUUACACACACACACACAUCAAGUAUGCAUUCAUAAGAUAAAUGUUGAUUUUCUUCUUGCACUAUUGAAACUGUUCCUUGUGUUGGUUACUGAAUUUCAAUCCUGAGACUCGACAGGUUGUCAACCCAUGUUUUGUGUAGAGUUAAAUCACUAUUUUGUUUGAAGACAAACAAUAGUUCAAGUUUGGGGGAUUUGAUAAGUGUGUUUUUACACACUUAUUCAGUCCACAAAACAUGACUAAUUAUUGAAAAAAUUGGUUGAUUAUGACUUAAUUCUAUGCAAUUUCAUGUUAUAGGGCCAUAUUGAUGGAUAUGAUGGAAUUUACGAGAAAUAGAAGCAAAAUGCACCAAAAUGAAAGUUCAGGGACCAACAUGAAAAUAUCCAAAAGAUGAACAAAAGGAGCAAUCAAAGAUUCUAUCUAUCGAGCUAAGUACCAAUUGGAGGUUAACAUUGAUAGGGGGAACGAAAAGAAGAAAGAAACGAGGCCAAGAAUAUGGACAAUAAACUUUAAGGACCAAAAUCAACGUUCGGGAAAAAGGGAACCUAUGCGGUCGCAUAGGAAACUCCCGAGCAUUAAAGGACCAAAUUUUUUUAGCCUAUGCGGCCGAAUAGGUCAAGCCGAUGUGGUCGCAUAGGAAUAAAUCAGGGACCGAACCUGUAGUUUCCUAUUUUCGAUAUAACUCUUUUGGAACUCGAUUGUGACGCGAUAUAAAAAUCUAGAGUCGUUAUAUUUCGAGGGAGAACGUAUUGGGAGGCAAGAAACUAAAUCUUGGAGAGAAUUUUGACCGCAAGUAACGAAGAAUUGCACGAGAAUUUUCAAGAUUUAUCAAGAAUUCAUAACCCGUUGAUGUUUUUUCUUCAAAAUCUGAUGUAUUCUUAUAUUUUAUCUAUGUUAUGCUAGAUUUUCAUUUACUAGGAGAUCAAUGUACCAUGUGAUUUGAUCUUUAAUUUUCUAGUUUUAUAAUUUGACAUUAAAAACACGUUUUGAUUGUUUUGAAUGAUUUAUGUGCAAUUAUUGUUUCCGCAAUUAAGGGCCCGUAAUUGUGUGAAUUUAGGUGGCUUAUUCUUGCAUUCGAUAGAAUUGGAAUAGGUUCGACAUAAUAUAAAUCAUCUUAGGAUCCGAUAGGGGAUAGAAAUAUACCGCUAUGCCUUACGUGAAUCUUUAAGUGUUCACAAAAUCGCAUACAUUUUUAUAUAUGCACGUAUCAUAGAAAUAUAGGCCGGUGGUAUGUAAAAAUAGGUUCAAUACAUCUCGAGAGAGAGUAUUGUAUAGAUUUAGGAGCAUUGAUUUGUCAACAAUUUAAGUGUGUUGUCACAUUGUGAAAUUAGGGUUUAAAGUGAUAAUUGUAUGAGAAAUCGUGAUCCUAGUGCUUUUAAUUUCCAUUGAAUACAACCAAUUCACGUUCUAAACAUAUAAUUUGCAUUUUAAUUCAUUAAAAUUAUCAUUUUUCAUACUGAGUUCAUUCUAAUCAUCAAGUUUGCAUAAUUAGGGUUCACUAAAUUAAGAUUUUUCUAAGAAUAAAUUCCAGUUUUGACAGAUUUGUUUCGGUUAAGGCUAAAAUAGUUAGAAUUGAACUACUCAAUCUUUAUGGGACGAUACUUGAAACUUAAUAUUCCACUUUAUUACUUGUUAACGAACCGUACACUUGUGGUGAUUUUAAUUGAAAGAAAAUAUUUCGUGAACAUUUAGUAAAGUGGAUUAUGGGAAAGUAUUAAUGAAUAAAAGAAGUUGAAAUCUUGUUCAUUGUACAAUUUAAUAUAAUCUAAUUUUAAGUACAAAAUAUGCAAUUAUAUUUUGUCUUGUGCACCUUUUUAGACUUAAUAAAAAAUUUAGAAUACAAAUUAGAUUGAAUAAUGGUUUGUAUUAUGAUGGAUUAAAAUGGAUAAUAUUCUUCGAUCAACGAAAAUUGAGUUGCAUAGUGAAUAUCAUUAUUUACUUUAAAGAUCACAUAAUAUACCAAAUUUAAUCUGCCAUAAUAUCAUUCACUUAUGUUGAACUCUGAACUCUGACCUAAACAAAACGACCUUCUAAUGAAAACCUAAUCUAUGUAAAAGUUUAGGAUGAAUCAUAAAGUUCAACUAGGACCAAUUAUCGCCGUAAUGCCAAAAAGCAGCAUGAUUGUAGAUUCUCUGCCAUACUGUCAAAGUAGCCAGCCCCCAAUCAACAAAGAACAUAUGGCGAAUAUGACUCCAGCACCUCAAUUUCCCACCAAUUAGCCACGGAAGCCCUUUAUCGGAUGUAAACUCAUUAUUUUCUAACAAUAUAAUAAGGACAAACGCCAUGGUUAUAUGAUGACAGUCGACCAUGACAACCAAUUGCAAGAUCACUGGCAUACUUCCCAAACUUGUUACUGCAACUGAUUUGAUUGACAAGACCCAAGCCCAGCCAAGGGAAAAUCUCUUCCCCUUAUAAAAAUGACUACACACUAUUCUUCCUUGCAGAACGACCAAAGAAUUGUAUUUAGGAAUUAUUAGUUUUUCAUCUCGACGUUAGCCCAAAAAUUAUCUCACCAAUUUUUUGGCAUUAAUGAAUUGGACCUAGAAGGAGGGCCAUGAACCUCUACUUUGUGUAAGCAACCCCAUUCUCCAUAAAAUCAACAAAAAAAAGUCAAACCACGAAGAAAUACCAUCAUGGACCAUAGUUUGAGUUUGGGAAUUAUCCCACACCUAUCUUAAUAAAUCCAACGUCCAACAAAUGUUCGGAGGGUACAAGGCCAAACUGAAACCGACGACCCUCAAAUCAUUGUCAUGAGAGAAGCUAUUGAAAGAUUGACGAAUGCAAUCAAUCCAGGCACCCGAUAACGUGAUGGAAUCCCCAACCAGGGAAUGAGCUAAACGACUUCUCACCAGGAGAACCCUCCACUUUUCGAUAGAAGAAUCUUAGAAAAUACAAACGGGUGAGGUCGAAGCCCUCCCCCAACAACGAAACCAGUCAUUAUGAAAGUUAGUAGUGUGUUUGACAGGUUAGACUCUUAGCAUUUGGUCAAACCCGAAGUGAAUGCUUUGAACUCAAUCUGAAACGCCCAUCAGAACAAGUGGAACCUGAAAUAAGUGCCUUAAAAUCGUAUUGCUAAUUUGUAAACCAAAAAUAGAGAGACUAUUGCAGAAUACCUUGGUAUACACCACUCUCCUUCACAGAAGAUAUUCUUGCUAAGCCUUUGCCCCAAAAUUUGAAGACACCACAGUUNUUGGCCCAAAAAUUAUCUCGCCAAUUUUUGUCCUCAACAACUUAAUUGACCAUUCUAAAUUCUAUUAAAUUUUUUAUCAUUUAGAGUGUGUUUGAGCCACAUUAUUUUUGAAGAAUGUAUUUUGGAAUAGUAGAUUGAUGGAGAAUGUGUGGUUAAAAAAUAAGAAAAAUUUUAGAUUUGCGUGUAAUAUUAUUUUAUUGAAAAAUAUGUUGUUGAAAUUAUGUCAAAUUACUAUUUAAGAAUGUAUUUUUUCAAAAUAAUGGGGCUCAAACAGGACCUUAAUACGAUGUACCAAAAGCAACUUUAAAUUAUUUAUAUAAAUUUAAGUUUUUAAACAAAACAAAAAGUAUUCGACUAAAAAUUCAUCGAGAUAUAAAUUUAUUGUUGGACAACUCUCGAACGCAUGCUAGGCGGUUGAGACCAUCAUUGAACACCAAGCAAAUGCAUAAGCACUAGAUCCAAGUAAGUCACGGCGGAGCACCGCCCAUUAUUGGUGACGAACCCCUUUUUCGGGGAUUCACCGUUCACGUUCAUGGCGGCUGGGAUAAUGUUGAAGUAGUACGUGGAAAUCCACGUGUUGUGGAUUUGUGAAACAUUCACACAUGCCCUACUGUGCCCUACAGGGAUUAGCCUUUAUUUUAUUUAUAAACGCUUUAUUACUUUUAAAUCACCACUUUUAUUAUUAUUAUUUUUCGCCUUUUCCUGAAUUUUGUGUUAUUCAACGGGCAAACUUAUGUCAAAGGUUGACACAAUGAUUAAAUCUAAAGAACCUUAGGCUGAGUGUUUUAUUAAUCAAGAAAGGUAUAAGUGAACAAAUGAACGAUGUCUUAAUAAUGCUUCGACAUGUGAUUUACAUUAAAACAUACUUUUUCUUUACUACUUACCAAUUUAAUACAAUAAGGCUAUGUUUGAUAGCCAAAGAUUUUCCAUGAAACUCGAAAAAUCAAGUUUAUUUUCCAAUUUUUGUAGUGUUUGAUAGGAUUUAUUUUCAUGGAAAACAUUUUCCAAUUGUGGGUCCCACUUAGACAUUUUCCAUGUAAUUGAAGAAAAUGAAUUCUCAUCAAUAUGGUGAAAAUUCAUUUUCCUGAAUACUGUAGCGAUUUUUUAUUUUAUUGUAAUGGAAACAAAUUUUAAGAAUUAUUGUAAAAAAAUAUUUUCCUUUAAUUGACAAUUUUCAUGUAAAAUAAAAUCAAACGAACACCAAAAGAUAGAUGAUUUUCUUGAUUUUUUUUUUUUGUAAUGGAAACAAAUUUUAUUCCCAAUACCAAUAAAUUUUAUCCCUUUAAUUGAUAAUUUUCAUGUAAAAUAAAGCUAAGCGUACAUAAAAAAAAAACUUUUAUUUCAAUAUUUUUCACGUGAAAAAUUAUACCAAUCAAAUACAAUAAAUUGAAAAUUCCCAGGAAAAUAAUUUUUAAACAAUUCAAUUCCCCAGAAUUCUUUUUCUUUCUAUCAAAAUUUUAUCUUUGCAAUCAAACGAAUCCUAAGUGUAAUUUGCAUGUGUCUAUUGUCAAACAUUUAGUCGAGAAACUCACUCAAAACAAUAGUAAUAAAAAAACUUGAGUAGGAGUAAAAAAAAGAGAGAAAUACAAAUAAUUAGCCCUGUUUGAGUUUUAUUCUUUGAAAAAAUAUAUUUUUAAAUAUUAUAUUGAUAUCAUUUCAAUCAUACAUUAUUCAAUAAAAUAAUAUUAAGUGUAAAUUCAAAUUUUUUUCUUUUUUUUUAAUAAUAUAUUUUUCAUCAAUUCUCUGCUUAAAAAUACAUUUUCUUAUGAAAAGAACGAAUCACGUUAAUGUGACUUUUUAAUAAGACAAAAAAGACAAGAAAACGUUGCCUUGAAUCAAUCACACGCUCAUGAUCUCCCAUCCAAGCAAAUGAUGAAAUCCCAUGAGCACUCACUAUCUGACACGUGUAAAGUCUGUUUAAAUUGCACCAUCGAUCAGGUGAAUCCAACGGUUAUAAAAAAUCGAAAUAAAAAAUGAAAAAAAUAGGCACAUGAUCAUGUUGUACCGUAACUUCCAUUUAGUACCCUGUUAGAUUCCUUCCACUUGCGAAAAAUAUGAAAUGCAACUUUCACUUCACUUAGCAGAUUUCUUGAGGACAAAUCUCUCCUGUAAGCAAAGAAGUGAUUCUUUUUUCACUUUUAUUCCAAGAAUUCAUACCUAAAUUACUCCUAUUCCUCUGUUUUUGUUGAACAAUCUGUGUGGGCUUAUUUGUCUUUUACGUUAUUUUUGACGAUUCUGUCUGUGCUGAGGGAUUAGAAGAACGUGUUUGGUAUUUUUGGUUUAUGGGUUUAAUUCACGACUGAUUCUACACUAAGGGUGUGCUGACAGUUCAAAAAUGGCGGGUGAAAUUGAAGAGCCUUUUAGACUUAAUUUUCAGGUACCCUUUAAUGGAUUUAUUUAUUUUCGUUUAUCUUUUAGAGGUUUGGGAUCAAUUCAGAUGCUGACGCAAUGAUUUGAUCUGUGUUUUGUGGGGGCAUGAUGAGUUUUUUGCUAUGAAUCAUAUGAUGAAGCAAUGAUUUGAUCUGUGUUUUGUGGGGGCAUGAUGUGUUUUUUGCUAUGAAUCUACUUUUUCUCAUUUUUUUAUNNNNNNNNNNNNNNNNNNNNNNNNNNNNNNNNNNNNNNNNNNNNNNNNNNNNNNNNNNNNNNNNNNNNNNNNNNNNNNNNNNNNNNNNNNNNNNNNNNNNNNNNNNNNNNNNNNNNNNNNNNNNNNNNNNNNNNNNNNNNNNNNNNNNNNNNNNNNNNNNNNNNNNNNNNNNNNNNNNNNNNNNNNNNNNNNNNNNNNNNNNNNNNNNNNNNNNNNNNNNNNNNNNNNNNNNNNNNNNNNNNNNNNNNNNNNNNNNNNNNNNNNNNNNNNNNNNNNNNNNNNNNNNNNNNNNNNNNNNNNNNNNNNNNNNNNNNNNNNNNNNNNNNNNNNNNNNNNNNNNNNNNNNNNNNNNNNNNNNNNNNNNNNNNNNNNNNNNNNNNNNNNNNNNNNNNNNNNNNNNNNNNNNNNNNNNNNNNNNNNNNNNNNNNNNNNNNNNNNNNNNNNNNNNNNNNNNNNNNNNNNNNNNNNNNNNNNNNNNNNNNNNNNNNNNNNNNNNNNNNNNNNNNNNNNNNNNNNNNNNNNNNNNNNNNNNNNNNNNNNNNNNNNNNNNNNNNNNNNNNNNNNNNNNNNNNNNNNNNNNNNNNNNNNNNNNNNNNNNNNNNNNNNNNNNNNNNNNNNNNNNNNNNNNNNNNNNNNNNNNNNNNNNNNNNNNNNNNNNNNNNNNNNNNNNNNNNNNNNNNNNNNNNNNNNNNNNNNNNNNNNNNNNNNNNNNNNNNNNNNNNNNNNNNNNNNNNNNNNNNNNNNNNNNNNNNNNNNNNNNNNNNNNNNNNNNNNNNNNNNNNNNNNNNNNNNNNNNNNNNNNNNNNNNNNNNNNNNNNNNNNNNNNNNNNNNNNNNNNNNNNNNNNNNNNNNNNNNNNNNNNNNNNNNNNNNNNNNNNNNNNNNNNNNNNNNNNNNNNNNNNNNNNNNNNNNNNNNNNNNNNNNNNNNNNNNNNNNNNNNNNNNNNNNNNNNNNNNNNNNNNNNNNNNNNNNNNNNNNNNNNNNNNNNNNNNNNNNNNNNNNNNNNNNNNNNNNNNNNNNNNNNNNNNNNNNNNNNNNNNNNNNNNNNNNNNNNNNNNNNNNNNNNNNNNNNNNNNNNNNNNNNNNNNNNNNNNNNNNNNNNNNNNNNNNNNNNNNNNNNNNNNNNNNNNNNNNNNNNNNNNNNNNNNNNNNNNNNNNNNNNNNNNNNNNNNNNNNNNNNNNNNNNNNNNNNNNNNNNNNNNNNNNNNNNNNNNNNNNNNNNNNNNNNNNNNNNNNNNNNNNNNNNNNNNNNNNNNNNNNNNNNNNNNNNNNNNNNNNNNNNNNNNNNNNNNNNNNNNNNNNNNNNNNNNNNNNNNNNNNNNNNNNNNNNNNNNNNNNNNNNNNNNNNNNNNNNNNNNNNNNNNNNNNNNNNNNNNNNNNNNNNNNNNNNNNNNNNNNNNNNNNNNNNNNNNNNNNNNNNNNNNNNNNNNNNNNNNNNNNNNNNNNNNNNNNNNNNNNNNNNNNNNNNNNNNNNNNNNNNNNNNNNNNNNNNNNNNNNNNNNNNNNNNNNNNNNNNNNNNNNNNNNNNNNNNNNNNNNNNNNNNNNNNNNNNNNNNNNNNNNNNNNNNNNNNNNNNNNNNNNNNNNNNNNNNNNNNNNNNNNNNNNNNNNNNNNNNNNNNNNNNNNNNNNNNNNNNNNNNNNNNNNNNNNNNNNNNNNNNNNNNNNNNNNNNNNNNNNNNNNNNNNNNNNNNNNNNNNNNNNNNNNNNNNNNNNNNNNNNNNNNNNNNNNNNNNNNNNNNNNNNNNNNNNNNNNNNNNNNNNNNNNNNNNNNNNNNNNNNNNNNNNNNNNNNNNNNNNNNNNNNNNNNNNNNNNNNNNNNNNNNNNNNNNNNNNNNNNNNNNNNNNNNNNNNNNNNNNNNNNNNNNNNNNNNNNNNNNNNNNNNNNNNNNNNNNNNNNNNNNNNNNNNNNNNNNNNNNNNNNNNNNNNNNNNNNNNNNNNNNNNNNNNNNNNNNNNNNNNNNNNNNNNNNNNNNNNNNNNNNNNNNNNNNNNNNNNNNNNNNNNNNNNNNNNNNNNNNNNNNNNNNNNNNNNNNNNNNNNNNNNNNNNNNNNNNNNNNNNNNNNNNNNNNNNNNNNNNNNNNNNNNNNNNNNNNNNNNNNNNNNNNNNNNNNNNNNNNNNNNNNNNNNNNNNNNNNNNNNNNNNNNNNNNNNNNNNNNNNNNNNNNNNNNNNNNNNNNNNNNNNNNNNNNNNNNNNNNNNNNNNNNNNNNNNNNNNNNNNNNNNNNNNNNNNNNNNNNNNNNNNNNNNNNNNNNNNNNNNNNNNNNNNNNNNNNNNNNNNNNNNNNNNNNNNNNNNNNNNNNNNNNNNNNNNNNNNNNNNNNNNNNNNNNNNNNNNNNNNNNNNNNNNNNNNNNNNNNNNNNNNNNNNNNNNNNNNNNNNNNNNNNNNNNNNNNNNNNNNNNNNNNNNNNNNNNNNNNNNNNNNNNNNNNNNNNNNNNNNNNNNNNNNNNNNNNNNNNNNNNNNNNNNNNNNNNNNNNNNNNNNNNNNNNNNNNNNNNNNNNNNNNNNNNNNNNNNNNNNNNNNNNNNNNNNNNNNNNNNNNNNNNNNNNNNNNNNNNNNNNNNNNNNNNNNNNNNNNNNNNNNNNNNNNNNNNNNNNNNNNNNNNNNNNNNNNNNNNNNNNNNNNNNNNNNNNNNNNNNNNNNNNNNNNNNNNNNNNNNNNNNNNNNNNNNNNNNNNNNNNNNNNNNNNNNNNNNNNNNNNNCUUCUUCUUCUAAUGGCAUUUAGUAACGUUGAGAUGUCUGAAAAUACCCUUUCUGCUAUUGGAUCAAUAUGUUUCCUUGCAUCUGACUGAAUCCUUUUACUCAAUUGAUCAUUUGAUCUUCUUCGUCAAUUGAGUUCUUGCCGGGAUGUUAAUGGGCCGAGACGAACUGGCUCAGCCCGCCUGUUGUUGGGCCGAGGCAUUUGCCCAAUUAAUUAAUUUAUUUAAUUUUAAAUUAGCAUUUUAUGUUUGUUGUUUUCAGAAAAAAGAAAAAAUAAAUAAAUUAUGGAUUCAAAUUCAAGCGGACAUAGAGGUUGCUUUUACAAUAUUUAUGGUGAGCCAAUAGUUGGCUCCAAGCCGACUUGCGAGCCAACUAAGGAAAUCAUGUCCCGGCUCGCCCCAUGACUUGCCUCCUGGCCAUGCCGAGCUGACUCACGAGUCGCCUCUUUUGACAUCUCUAAGUUCUUGAGAACAAUUCUCUUUUUCGUUGUGAUUGUGAUCAUCGUGGAUUACUAGCAUAAAUGGAAUUUUAAUUUUUCUAAAGCCCAUACUUAGAUUUGGGUUAAUAUUUUUACAAAAUGUGCUUUCUCAUUCACCUGGCCCUAAUCUUAAAGAAAGGUUCGCUAAGCAGAUGGCUGCUAAGUUUCGUAUCAUUGUUUUUUUAAUUCUUGUCCAGAAAACCAUUUUAACCUUGAACCAAGGAACUAUAUUAUUCUACUUCAAGAAAGGUCAAAUCAUUUGCAUAAAUCAAAGAUAGAAUGAUGUCACAAGGACAAAAUAGCUUUUUGGCAAAGUAGAAUAAUUCUUAGAACCCAUUUGAUCUAAAUUAUUUGAAAAAAAUACAUUUUUAAAUAGUGAUUUGAUAUCAUUUUCAUCGCACAUUCUUCAAUAAAAUAAUAUUACACGCAAAUCCAAAAUUUUUCCUUAUUUUUUAAUUACACAUUUCUCAUCAAUACGCUAUUCAAAAAUGCAUUUUUCCAAAAUAAUGUGGCUCAAACUAGGGCUUAUUUCUAUGUUGCCCUUUCUUAGAACUCUUAUCAAGUUCGUACAGAGCAGAGUUGUAAAGUCUGAGCUUCAUGCCUUGCUGAAAAUUCCUAUAUUAAGUUUACAUCUCGAAUACAACUUAAAUUAUUUUCCUUGUCAAAGCAUGAACCUACUAUCUUGCUAUAUUCUAUUAUUUAAAUGUUUUAGGUUAUGAUUUUAAUUCUUUAUGGUUCAUGCUAUACGUUUCUUUCUGAUUUGAUAGUUCUUCCUAUUUAAGGUUUUUUAUCAUUAAAAAUUCUCUCUGAACCAGAAGGGAAUCUUUAGAUAGAUUGAAUUUCAAGUACCAAUUUUAUGUAGACCAUUAGCUUCACUAUUAUUCACUUGUCAUUGUUUCUUUAAUAUGCCCUUCACUCUUCGGCAUUCCAUUACAAUAUUUUUUCGCUGUGCAAUGUACUUCCAAAUAGUUUACUAUAAUCAUCAGUUAGUGAAGAAUUUUAUCUCUGAGACACUUUCUUCCAGGCCACAGAAAGUAAUGCGAAAACAAGAGCACCAUUGACUAAACCUUCAAGUCCUGGUAUUAGAAUUUCUGAAAGAUGUUCAUCAAGUUCUGGCAAAGGAACUUAUGAAAACCUUUCCAUCAGCAAAUCUGUAAAGUCGAGGGACUCACCAUUCAUCUCAGGUGAAACCAGCUGCUAUUCAACUGUCACUUCUGAUAGCAUUCCAUCUCCAGCAUCUCCAGAAGGAGAAACCAGCAAUAAUCAUCCAAUACAAGCUGCAGUGAAAGACAUGGUAGGUGGGACAAAACAGAGAGAGAAAGAUAAGUAUAUAAACCUUCGGAACAAUAAGGUGCCAGAAGUUAACAAGACUUAUAAGGGCCCAAAAGUCGAUGGAAAGCAGAAGCCAGGAAAUAAGAAGCAGAGCCAUACUGGACUGGGGAGUAGUUCAAGAACUGGUCGUCUAGCAGUUAGCGUUGCCUCAUAAAUAUGAUUUAUGACCAUAUUCCCUUGGGGCUGAUGCAUCAUCAAAUUCAACUUGCUUACUAUCAUUGCAUGUUCAUGCGCAUCUGUGGACUUUUACGAGGUGGUACGAAGCAAUUUGUUAGUUCGGGGAGUUUGCUUUCGCCAAUGGAUAUGUUGCAUGCAAUGUAAAGUUUAGUUCAAUAAACAUUAAUAACUAUAUGCAUAUCGUUUGAAAACUCAAACGUGCUCCCUUAAUUUUCUUGGUAACACAGUGUGACACUCGGAUUAACACAAAAGUUUAUGAAAUUACCAGCUUAGUAUGGUAUAUCUUAUUUGUUGAUAGAUACUUCGUAGAUUGAAAUGUCAACUGGUGUACUACCUUAUUUUUAUUUACUCAUUUUCUGGUGCAAUAGUUGCCGAAUUUUCUGACGGUGCAUUGAAUUCUGGAGAAUUUUGCUUCAUUUUUUGUUGAGUUUUCAAUAUAAGUUGGUACGCACUGACGUACGUAUUUCUUGGC
rnacentral:lncRNA from 1 species